rnacentral:lncRNA from 1 species
GUUGCCGUCGGUUCUUGUAUGCUAUCUUACUAUUGUUACCACUAUCCAGUAAAGCACUUGACUCCUGAGCAAUGGAAAUUUAGAACUGAAUUAUAUGAGCCCGUGAUGUAUCCUUUAUUCUUGAAAUUUGAACUACAUUGAAGUUUGAUUAGUUGCUAGCUAUUGAAUAAGGAACUUUUUUAUUGUUGUGUUAGCAGUUGCGCCCAUACAUUUCUUUAGCGAUGCAGGAAAGAGAGAAAGCCUGCCAUUAUACAGAAUGUGUCCUUUUUUAUAUAGUGGAAUCGAGAGUUUACUUUACCUUUCUCUGUUUACCUUUCUCCAUUUAUAAUUUUUCUAAGCUGCUAUGGGGUAGGCAUCCAGUGGCACAGCGAGGAAGUGCACUUCUGUACUACUCCCUCCUUCCCAUUUUACUUGUCAUAUUAGCAAAAUCACACAUACCAAGGAGCAAUAUGAAACGCUAGAAAAUAGGAUCCUGAGUAUUAAUCGUGUGGUUAUAAAUGCUUCCACUUUUCCUGCGCCUCCUCUGCGCACGCACGCAGCUCUUAACCAAUGCAUGCAGCCCACAAAUUGCUCCUGGCCGCUAAUUGCCUGCAUGCCGCCUCCCUCCAGCCAAGUUUCUUGCUGCUCUUCACCAAAGAAGUUAAUGAGCACAUAGGCCCAGACUAGUACGACACAUAAAUUGGGAAAAAUACAAAAAUCUAAUACAGCAUUUAAUUUGGGAAGGAGGGAGUAGUUAGUACCCAUAUAUAGGUGAAGUUAUGGACUUCAUAUGUGAUACGUUUUUGGUUUUGAUUAAUAGACUUGUUUUGAACAUUGCAAAUUUGCAGCUCAUUUCAACUGAACCUUUGCAGCUGUAUCCAAGCUGUUCCUUUUAUUUCAUAUGUAAUUUAGAUGAUUUGCCAUAAUUUUUAUUUGUUUUUUCCUGCGCAGAAUGUGAUGCCCUGUAAUGCCAAAAAGCUACAAGAAGCUAUAAAUAAUGGCUGUGGAAUUCAUCCCGGUGCAACACACUACAAGGUUAACAAAAACAUGUAUAAAUUACAGGAUGACCGUUCCAAACGGCGUGCCAUUGCUAAGAUGUUACCUGCUUCUAGAGGAUCAAUUUCUCAACCUGGGAAAGAUCCUAAAUGUGAAUUUGAAAGCAAAGUUGUAUAUCGACAUCUUCAAGAUGGUGAUAUUGUACUUGUCAACAGACAGGUAUAAAUAUUUGAUAGCAAGGUUGCCAUUCCAUUUUCUUCAGGAAAAACUUCUCCAGUCUCAUUUAGGUGUUGUUUUAACAAAGUAGUUUUUCAAAUGUUGUUAUUACUUUUUCUAGGCAACUUUUGCAUGCAAAUGCACAUAUUUGUUACUUAUUUGCAGCAAAGUUAUAAAGAUGUAUAUGCAAUUAUUAGGUUCAGGCGGGCACCACAUGCAAAAUAUUUGAGGCAUUAAUUCCAUCACUCCUCUAUGUACAUAGAGCUAAACAAAUAAAUUUAAAUUGGGCCUAUGAAGAUACAGGCAAAACAAGGCUUUCAUCUUAAAUGGUUUUAUUUAAAUUUUGAGAUGACAUUAAGUAGAUCAGGUCAACUGCAGUUAUGCAUGGGAUUAAAGCCCAUGACCUGUAGCGCUACUUGUCAGGCUAGAUCAUUUUGACUUGUCAGUUCAGGAAGUGAUUCAAUGUAAAGUCAAGACGUGAACAUUGCAGUGUAAAAGCAAACUUGUCACACCACCACUUUGCUAUCGAUCAUACCGCUUUAGGAUUUAGUGACAGCAUAACACAGCUUACAUAGAUCUUCAGUGAACUGACUGUCAACAUCUCUAAUCCCUCUGUUUGCUGUUUGAAGCCUACUCUUCACAAGCCCAGCAUGAUGGCCCAUUUUGUUCGUGUAUUGCCUGGAGAGAAGACAAUUCGAAUGCACUAUGCCAAUUGCAGGUAUUUGGAUAUGUUCUUGUAAUUUUCUUUUGCCUACAUCACAUGGUCAAAUAAUUAUGUCACUUUUUAGCACAUACAAUGCUGAUUUUGAUGGUGAUGAAAUGAAUGUGCACUUCCCGCAAGAUGAGAUAUCUCGUGCUGAGGCCAUGAACAUUGUUGAUGCAAAUAAGCAGUACAUUGGUCCAAGGAGUGGGGAUGCUGUCAGAGGUCUCAUUCAGGUAAUAUCAUGUAUAUGCAGUUGUGGUAUUUUGUUUUUCUGUACACUUUCACCAUUGAACAACCGGUAUUGACAUAUCCACUGGUUUUUAGUCAUAUCAAUUGUUACAUGCAUCGAACGAUAAUUAGAAAUUGUUUUUUUGUAGGACCACAUUGUUAGUGCUGUGCUUCUGACUAAACUGGACACAUUCAUAAGCCGUGAGGAAUACAGUCAGCUUGUAUAUGGGUCUUGUGUGUCCUCAACUCGUAGCCCUUGUCAAUCUGGUAAAAGGGUAUCUGUUAUGAAGGAUGGUGACAUAUUGGAACUUCUUCCUCCAGCUAUUUUGAAGCCAAAACCACUAUGGACUGGAAAACAGGUUAGUGUUUAUACGAUGAAACUCGUGUCACUAUUGAUCUUAAUCUUGACAUUGCUUAAAAUUCAGCUGUCUAAGUUUUCUUUUUGUUACAGGUCAUAACAACCAUCUUGAACCAUUUAACAAAAGGUCACCCGCCAUUUACUGUUGAGAAGAAAGGGAAAAUUCCAGUAAAAUAUUUAAUACCUAAAGAACGCCAUGGUGAUAAAGAUAACGCUAAAGAUUCUGAACAAGUUCUGUAUAUUCAUGAUAAUGAGCUUAUAAAGGGCAUGAUAGAUAAGGACCAGUUCGGGAACUACGGGAUAGUUCACACGGUUUAUGAACUAUAUGGUGCAGAGACAGCUGGAAGACUGCUAUCAAUAUUCAGCCGUCUGUUUACAUUAUUCUUGCAGGUGACCUUGAAAGCAUAUUUUUUUUUCUAUCUUUUCAUUAUAGGUGGGGUGUAUAACUGGUGGUCUAGUAGCAAUAAUAGAUAGUACCCCUACCUCUACUCUUUACUCUUUCUUGAAUUUGUUUCAACUGAAGCAGUUGUAACAAUUAAACUCUCUAGUAGCAACAAAUUGUACUCCUAGACCUAGACGUGCUUAAGUGUUUUGGCAAAUAAAGCAUUAUCGAACUUAUGACCAAGCUAUUCAUGAUUCUCAUGUUUGGUCAUCAGAUGGACUGACUAGUCUUUAGUUACCCUUUUUUUUUAAUUUGAGACUUUACAGCUUCAAUACUCAUGACCAGCAUGCAGCAGAUAAUGGCAAUAUCACCAGAUAAUUUGCCUUGGAAAUUCAUUUAGAUGGGCCGAAAUGAAAAGGAAAGCUGAUUUGCACCUGCAUCCAACCCACUCUUGAGCUGUCUGCUUGAACCAUAUAGCACUGUCAAGAGGCAAACUUAAAACCUUAAGUCCUGCAGUGGAUCAUGUGAAAACAAAUACCCAGCUGCGACAGCAGCACGAUACAACUUUUGUGUUGCCUAAGCAAUGGACACUAGUUAUUUGAUUGAAAUGUGGUUGCCCAAUUCUACUUUAUUCUAUUUUACUUUGCAUAUUUAAACUUGUAACACAAUACGGUUUUUUCUGAGGAAUUAACACCAUACUGUCACAUGAUUCCCCUAAUAUCUUUUACUCCCUCCGUUCCAUAAAGAUUGGCACGGAUUUGAACUGGCUCUGUAUUCCCUAAAAAAACAUAUUGUUCGGUCACUUAAUUCUCAUUCAGUUCUCUAAUUUCCUAACGUUUGGAGUAGUGAAACCAGGAGAUCAUACUGGAACAUUAUGUUAAGUGUUAACCAACCUGUUCUCAUCUCUUAAAUCAUAGGAUUGACCUCUACUAACAAGUACCAUCAUAUUAGUGUAAUUUAUACUGUUCAUCUUGAUACUAGCACUAGAUCAGUAGAUAUCUCUUGAAGUAAUCUCUACCAAUAUUGCUCUAAGUAACUGUGGAUUAUCGAAAAUGGUUUGCCUGCCCAUUAACCGUGGCUGCAAGUUAAUGGAAUGCCAGGGUUCCUCUAAAAAAUGUUUUGCCUGCCUGUCUGGAUUUCUUUUGAGUAAUUUGGUGCUCAUCAUUCACUAUGUUUUAGACAAAAGUUUUCCACCCCAUGGUGUAAGUCAUUGAAAGAACGGAAAAGAGCUCAGCAUUCGGGGUUUGGUUGUGUUUCUGUUCUUUGCUCCAUUUGGGAGGAGAGUAGAGACAUAGAAGAGAGAAACGGAACUUGGUAGCUGGUGGAAGCUCGGUGUGGCAGCAGUUUGCUCACAUCAGGUCGUUACUUAACCGUUUUGCAAAGGUGGUUUUAAGGUUCAGUUGGUUAAGUAGCCCUAGUGCCAACGGGGGUGAUGUGAACUUUUUCUUUGUUUUUAACAGUGCCCUACUCUCAUGUGGCUUUGGUAUACUGUCAUUAGUUGGGUUUUGCCCUUGUUUCUUCGUAUUGUAUUUUUUUUUAUUUGCGAUUAUGUAAUACUAAGAGAAAUUAUUUUUUGCAGUUACAUGGAUUUACUUGUGGUAUAGAUGAUCUGCUACUAUUCCAAGAAUCCGAUAAGCAGAGGACAGAAACUCUCAUGACAAGUGAGAAAUGCAGUGAAGAAGUCCACAGGAAAUUUACAUGCGCUGGAGAUUAUGACGAAGGUCUGUUGAGUUUUAUCUUUACAACCAAUACUUUUUGCUCAAUCAUAAGUCCAUAAAGAUCUAUUGUGAAUGGCUCUGAGGACAGAUAUUUCAUCUGUUUAUCUGAGGGCAGAUAGUGAGGGUCCUGCUGAUAUAUUGAAUACACUGCUGACACAUGCUAAUAAGUCAAAGGAAGUGAAGAAAAUAAUAUUUUGCAACUCUGAAGGAUUCACAUCAUCCUAAGUUCCUAAUGAUGAAGAAGAAAACAGGAAAGCACUGAAUAUGGGUACAAGGGCAGAGACUCUUAUGUAGCUAACAGAGUAAUAAUUACUCCAAAAAUUACUACCCUUUCCUGGAGACGUUCUUAGUCCUAGUAACUUGAUCAUCUGUAGCCCUCUGCUGUGAUAUCGGCCUAAUCAGGGCGUAACACGGUGGCCAAGCAGAAGCAGUGGCCUGUACAUAAUAUGCUUUAACGGGUUAGAUAAUGGUCCGGAGAUUGGAUGAUAGGUCACCUGCCCUCAUCAACCCGUGGCAGGCCUCGCCCCUUUCGUGGAAAAGUGGCUCUGAGGCUUAAGAACUUCUGAUUUAUCUAUUGCAUGAAUAAAAAGGAUUACACGCUGGUCUAGUUUGACUCGAUUUGUACCACCACAAAUUCUAUCUCUUUCCUAAUUAAACUUAUCUCCUUGUCUAAUAUGAAAAUCUUCCCUAACAUACUUAUGUGUACCUAAUAAUAUUAGAUGAUGAUUAUUGAUUUUACAACCCUAAUAGCCUGCUUUGCUUCUAUGAUCGGCCGGGCUACGUCUUUAGCCCAUAAAAGCAGCCUUGAUGUUUGUACCUUAUAAAUUGGAGUCACUACCUUGUUAUAUCAGCUAUUUUUGUGCAGAUCCAUUGAAAUUGCAAAUGGAGGUUGAAAAGGUUGUGCGGAGGAUUGGAGAAUCCGCGACCGACACGUUGGAUAAAAUGAUGUUAAGUGCUCUAAAUGGGUUACAAUCUGAGGUCAAUCGACGCUUGUUUCCCUAUGGGCUACAAAAGCCUUUUCCUAGAAAUUGUCUGACUCUUAUGACUGCAACUGGAGCUAAAGGUGGCGAGGUAAAUUGGAUUUUUCAGUAGGGAACAGAACAAUGUCCUUGUAAAUAUUCUGUUAUUUAAUAUAUUUACUGUCGGAGCCUCUCCUACAGUUUUUUUUUUCAAAAAAAAAAACAGAACAAUGUAAAUGUUCUGUUUAAAGUGAACUAUGUGUUGGACGCACAGUUACAAACGUGAACUGCAACAUUACCUACUUGGCCUAACAUCUUGCCACUUCAUUUGUCUUGCUAGGUUAACAUGACACAAAUCACGUCAUUGCUAGGCAGCCAAGAUUUAGAAGGAGCGCGUGUUCCACGAAUGAUAUCUGGGAAGUCAUUACCUUGCUUUCCACCUUGGGAUACUUCUUCAAGAGCUGGUGGUUUUGUCAGUGACAGAUUUUUAACUGGUCUGCGCCCUCAAGAGUACUAUUUCCACUGUAUGGCCGGCAGAAAUGGGUAAGCUUUGUUUCCAAGCAGGCAUUUAGCUCUUAAAUGGGUAUCAAUUUAGAACAAGCAUACUUGGCUGUUGGCACUAUUAGUUAGAAAUGGAGAUAAGCGAGUUGUACAAAUGGUCUAAUUUCUUCCUGCUAUAAAUCAUUCGCUCCUAUGUUGUUAUGUGAGAUAGUGUUGGGAGCACACGAAAUAAUGUUACUUCCACACAACAUUACAUACUCUCUCUAUCAUCUGUCGUUUGGAAGUAAUUACAAUUACGUUCCAAGAUCACACAGUAGUUCUGGCUUGCAUCGGUGCCUCAAUCUUCAGAAUUUUUUAACUUGCUCCCUGGACACCAAGGCUCUUUGUAUUUCAGUACUUAAUAAACUUGCUAAUUUGUUGCUAAGAGGGGUAGAGGACGACCUAAGUUAACAUGGGUGGAGGCAGUUAAAAGGGACCUAAAAGACUGGAAUGUGUCCAAAGAUCUGGCUUCUGACAGGGCUGCAUGGAAAUCUUCAAUCCAUGUGCCUGAACCUUGAUUAUUUCUUUGUUUUUCUGUUUACUUUUAGUUUCCACAAAUUUCUGUUUGGGUUUCAUAUCUAGCCUACCCCAACUUGCUUGGGACAAAAGGCUUAGUUGUUGUUGUUGUUGUUGUUGAAGUCUGUUGGAACUAUAUGAAAUUUAUUCUACACCCAUCCAUUAUCGCCUUCUUUUGCAUGAUUUGCAAUUAUCGCCAAUUUUGUGUUUGCAGACGGGGAAUUGUAUUCCCUCACUGAAAAAACUCAUAUGACAGUGACAAGUUUCAUGCCACUCAAUUCUCGUUCUUACCAUUGUAGUUAGAUGUAUUUUCUCCUUAGAGUCAUCCAUUAUUACCUCUGUACUGGAUUUUGUUGUUAUGAUAUUUAGCUUGGUUAUGUUCAUUGCAGGUUGAUUGACACAGCAGUCAAGACAUCGCGUAGUGGAUAUCUUCAGCGUUGUCUUGUCAAAAGUCUUGAAUCAUUGUUUGUGGCUUAUGAUCACACUGUGCGUAAUGUUGAUGGAUCAAUUGUACAAUUCCGCUACGGAGAAGAUGGAGUUGAUGUCCAUAAAAGUAACUUUCUCGAUAAGUUCCAGGAUAAAGACAUGUUUAAAGAACUUGCUGAUGUAAGACACUUCAGUUACCAAUUAAGUAGCCAAAUUAACUUUGUAGUAUGCCUUGGUCUAUGCAUUUGUUUGAUCGGACUGAUAACUGUUUGCAAUUUGUUCCAAAUUACAGAAUAGAAAAGCUGUCCUUGACAGGCUUGGUAGAUACACUGGUGAUCACAUGUCAUUGCAGUCCAAUUACAUCACUGAACUGCCUGAAGCACUCACUGACCGUGCAACGAAAUUUCUCUCAAAAGAUAAGGGGCGCUGCCGGCAUGACAUCAAGGAGGAUGAACUAAUGAAUUUACUAAAAGCCAAGUACCUGGCUAGUCUUGUAGAUCCUGGUGAAGCUGUUGGUGUGAUCCUUGCCCAGUCUUUAGGAGAACCCUCGACACAGAUGACGUAAGAGCAUUUCUAUACAUCUGUUUUCAUUUGAUGAACUAUAGCAAGACACACGUGCGUUGCUACGGAAUAAAAAGACACAAUACCUGUUUAAAAGAAUGUUCUACUAUCAUUUGCUUUCUCAUAUAAAUUAAUACAUACACACCAACAUCUUGAUGUUUUGUGUCUUAUCAAAUGGUGGUGCGGUCUGAAGGUGACAGACCACCUUGUGUCCAUAACUUCUAUUCCUUCCGUUCCAUAAUUUUUGUCAAAAUAUUACAUGUAUCUAGACGCUUUUUAGGAACAGAUACAUCCACUUUUGAGCAAAUUUGAGACAAGAACUAUGGAACGGAGGUAGUAUAUAUCAACUCCAUUUUUUUUUUGCUUCUAGAUAUAUUGCAUUUUUUUUUAUCUGGUGACUCUUUUAAAAGUAAUGUAUACAUUUUCUGUCAUGCCCUGCAGGCUCAACACUUUUCAUUUUGCUGGAAGAAGUGACGUGAAUGUCACACUUGGGAUGCCUCGGAUACAAGAAAUUCUAAUGAAAGCAUCAGCAAACAUUGCUACGCCUGUUAUGAUGUGUCCUCUGCUUGAAGAUGUGACUUGGUGGGAUUUAUUUGUUUUUAUUUUGAUGAUUCUUUAUACUUUUUAGUUUAAAAUUCAUGCGUAGUCUAUAUCAAGCAUUCCUGUAUGAGAAGUAAAAGAGGAUCUCAACCAAAGUGUACUCAAUUCUGUCACCGCACUAGCAAGAUACAUGCACCAAUUCUACUUUCCUGUAAAAGAUCUCAGUCAAACUAGACUCAUAUUUUCAGCAUUCCAGCAAGAUACUUGCACUAAUUCUUUCAACCUGUGGACAUUUAGGGAUGAUGCUGAACGUCUUGCCGCAAAAUUGAGGGGUGUUCGGUUGGUUGAUAUUGUGGAGGGAAUCGAAGUAUGCACAGUUCCUUUUUACAACAAUAAUGGGUAUGUUUCGAGUCUCUAUAAGUUGCAGAUAAAACUAUUCCCACCAGAGCGUUACCCUCCUCAGUCUGAGCUUACAGUAGAUGAGUGUCAAACAGCCUUGAGAACAGUGUUUGUUGAUUCAAUGGAAUUUGCAAUCGAAAAACACCUAAAAUUGCUAUACAGAGUUAGUGGAAUCCAGGAAACUAGGGUAAAAGACACUGAGAGCUCACUAUCAGAAGGUCCUGAAGAAUCUGAAGGCCGACCUAUCGACGGGGAAGAAUCUGGUGCAAGUGAUGGUGAUAAUGAAAAUGAGGAUGACUUGGGAACUGAUGGAGAAAAGAGGAAACGUCAAGAGAAUGAUGAGAUGGAGUAUGAUGGUGAAGAUGAUGUUGAAAAGGAAGAUGGUAUGAACAGUGACCCUGAAGAAGAGACAAAAUAUGAACUUGAUAAUGAUGAUGAUCUAGUUGAGUCAGGCGGAGAAUCAGAAGUGAAUGACGAAGGACAUGUGUCAGAUUCCAGUAACAAGGUAGGCAAAUUAGAAGGUAAGCUUGCAGCUGGUAAACUCAAGAAGGAAGUAAAUAAAACCGUGGAAAACUUGGAGGAGCAGAAGCAGGCACAAAAAGGAGUGAAACGCACCAAGUUAAGCCGCACUGUCCAUGUUGAAAGCACAGGCUUAAAUUUUGAGGUUCACUACCUCUUGUUGCACAACGAACCCCAUAUUUUGCUAUCCCAGGUACCUCGCCAUAAACAGAAAAAUUUACAUUAUGCUUUUCUUUUAGAGCCUGGUAAUUGAAUGACAUAACUCAAAAGUAGUUCCUUUCUGAAAAUGUGUUAUUGUGACUACACGAUGGCUUCAUGGGGAACUUGUAUCAUGAUGCCCACUGUCUGCCAAUUGAAAUGCUUGGGCCUGUAUGCUUGUGAUCUGAACUUUCCUUGCGCUCUUCAAUUUUUUCACUGCAAGCAGCUGCUGCUGCCACCAUUUAAAUUUAGUCAAUACAUUGUUUUAGUGAGUAACGGCAUGGCAGUAAUUUAUUUGUGUCUAAUAAACUUAAGGGGGAACAGUAUGAUUUUUUAGGGCCAUUAGUAUUGGCUAGGAUCAUGAUUGUUUGGAUGUAAAAGUUUGUAGAAACUUCUGAUCAAAAUUCGGGAUAUUAAAAAACUGGGCUGGGCUCUGUGUGAGGCCUUGUGGCCCUGGGAUAAUAAUCCCAUAACGGGGUGUUUUUAAGUUCACUCUUUUGACAACACGGUAUAUUUGAUCUAUAUUGCAUUUUCUGUCAUUAUAUUAUAUACGUCUGAACAAACAAACAAAAAAUCUAAUAGAAGAUACAUUUUAAUUUUCCUUUCCAGAUUGCCCAGAAGACAUUGCGGUCCCUAUUUGUCAAGGGAUCCCAUAACAACAAAAUUGAUCAAUGUAAAGUUGUUUGGCCAGAGAAGAAAGGUGAUUUCCGAGGACUGAAGACGGCAGGAGUGAACUUUGAUGUAUUCUGGGGUCUGCAGGACUACCUCGACAUCUGUAAGGUUGCGUCGAAUGACAUACAUGCAAUCUUGAGGACAUACGGGGUGGAGGCUGCCAGGGCCACCAUCAUCAAGGAAGUGAAAGCUGUUUUUGAACCCUUUGGUAUAAAUGUAAACAGAAGGCACCUGAGCCUGGUUGCUGAGUUCAUGACCUCCGGAGGUGAUUACCGAGCAAUGAGCAGCAUGGGGAUGGCCCAGUUCUGUACGUCGCCGUUUGGCAAGAUGACUUUUGAGCAAGCCACCAGGUUCAUCACGGAGGCUGCUUUUUACGGCGAGGCGGACAACCUCAAUGGCCCUUCGGCGACCAUAUCGUUGGGGAAACCGGCUAAGACGGGGACAGGUUGCUUUGGCUUGCUGCAGAAUUUUUGCUUAGAGGAGACCGCGGUCAUGUAACUGUCUCUUGUCUAUACGUUUGGUCUAUAGCAUGCAUGACUGGUCACUUGAUUUUGAGUCCAAGGAUUAAACAUACCAGUGGGUGAGAGAGGUGGUUGCUUGAUUUGAGUCCCAAGGAUUAGUUAGUGAUGUAUUCUUGUAUUGAGACUUUGGAUCUUUUUUGUAUGUCAGUUGCAUAUUCUUGGAACACGUCAAUAGGCAAAAGCCUGAUUAAUUCCGUAACACGUCAAUAUUCAGAUGAUUAAGUUGGGAUCAACUAAUAUUUACCCAGAUCAAUCUUGUCCACAGCAUGCAUAUCACAGGAGUGCACUGUCUCCUUGCAAGCUGUACGUGAUAUGCAUGCUGUACGUAGAGGAUGUGAAGAGUUGUUGCAGAAUAUGUAGAUACACAUAAAACUCACGGUCUAUAAGAGCAUUUUCCUUUCUUUCCUCCGUCCAACAAAAGAUGUCUUAAAUUUGUCAAAAUUUGGAUGUAUUUAGACAUGAAUUAGUGUAUAGAUUGACAAAUUUGGAUGUAUUUAGACAUGAAUUAGUGUAUAGAUGCAUUCAGAUUUAGUCAAAGUUGAGUUCUCAAAAUAAUGAUUGCAAACACCUUUCCUCCACUCUUAUUACAGUAAUUGACAAGGAACACAUAUAUACUGAUUGAUGUGCAUUAGCUGCUUAUUUCUUGUCUGGCAUCUUCCUUAACAGUUCACCAAGGACUUGGAAUAGAUCACCAACGAUCCCAUAAUCUGCAACCUGGACAACAGCAACAAAAACAGACAGUAAAUAUCUGGCUGUUGAUCAUCGAAGCGCAGCUCGGUCCGGGAGUGGAAUAGAACCUGAAAUAUGGGUGCAUCUGCGUCCUUGUUGACAGCCACGAUAACCUUGGAAUCUCUCAUCCCUGCCAAGUGCUGUAUCGCUCCCGAUACUCCGAAAGCAAUAUAGAGCUCAGGAGCCACUAUCUUACCAGUCUGGCCAACCUGAAGGGAAGUAUUAAGGGUUUAACCAGACAUUCUGUUACCAUGACUUAUGCCACAUAUUAUUUUGUAUUGGACUAGCUAGAUGCAAGUGCGUUGCUACGGAAUUUAAAUGUGUGUGCCCUCAUAAUCCCCAAUAUGUGCUAAAUAACAAUUAUCUCAAAAUAUGUCAGUCCAAUCAACUAUAACCAAAAGAUGUGAUAUGUAUAUCUACCACAGAGAAUGAGUGGCAAUUGCGGUGAUGUGCUAGCAACUUCGAGAGUAGUUUGGUGAUGUGCUAGCAACUAAGAUCUUUAUAAGAGUAAAGAUAAAGAUGUAUACAUUUAGAACUCAUUCAGUUACUAUUUGGUUAUACUACUCUGGUAGAUUUGAGGAGCUUACUUGAAGUUCAUUUGGCACAUAUCCUGCAUCAACAGCAGCUCGGGUCGCACCCACUACAGAAAAAAAUGUAACCAAUCCAAAUAAAAGCUGUGUACAGACUCAAGAGGACUGGAUCACAGGUUUAUAAAUACCAACCACUAGCAAUUUCUGUGGUAACAAGGUUCAAUGGACAAUUUAGUAAAAGCGCAAACCUGCUGCACCAAGUUUCUCAGCAAGCUGCUCCAACAAUUUGAAAUUCUCAGCACUUUUCAGACCUCUGCCUCCAGUGACUACCACACAUGCAUUUGCAAGAUCUGGUCGUUCUGUAUCUUGGGAUGUAAGAUUCACCCAUGAAGAUUUUCUUGAGCUUACUGCACAUCAAAGAAAAGAGUUUUACAAAUAUGUGGCAUAAUUUUAUAUGGGUAAACUGUCAUUAUGAGUACCAAAAAAACACUAAUUUCAUCAUAACAUUUUUUAACACCAGACACAACCUGUACAUCCACAAAAAAACCAAGCAUGAACGCCUACUGAAGACUGACCUAUACAUCCACAAACCAUAAUAAUUCCGUGGAAAAGACAAUCUAGUAAACUCAAUCAGUCCUUAGACUUAGAUCAAGGUCCGAGAAACAUAUGUAGUGCGAAAUGAACAAGAACAAUUCCGUAAGGUGUAAAAGGGGGUGGAUAAUAGAAGAACAUGGUGAGGAAAUUAAACAAACCUUCAUUGAGGAAAGAGAGAUCAACCUGGGUAAUGGGUGCAACUUUAGUUUCUGGCAUAGACUCAGUAGUUGGAGAAAAUGAUGUUGACCUAAUACUCAUCAUACAAGGAUUCUCUCCAGUAUAUCGUACAGUGCAAAGUGCAUUUCCAGCAUAAAUUGGCCUGAAUACAAGAGCAUGUCUUAAAUCAAAAUAUUAAAUUGCUAUGAGAUAUAGCAUUGAGUUGGCUAUGUGAAAACAUCAAGGCAGAUGAUGAUUAUACAAAGAAUAAAAGCAAACACGCCCCCAGCAUGCCCAUGAAUAUUGUUGUCCAUGCCAUAUCCAAACUGCUAAGAACAAUAGAAAACAGUAGAAUAUCGAACCUCACAAAGACCCGUGGCUCGGAUAUGGCAGUGACGUCUGUAACAGGGGAGACAUCUAGAAGAGCCGCAGCACGUGGAAGCAAAUUCUUUCCGAAUGACGUUGAAGAGGCUAUAACAUGAGAAUAUCCACCUUUCUGCUGAACAGAGCGGAGGAGCUCGGCCCAAGGUUCAGCUAACGGAUGCGCAAAUACAUCUGAAUCAGCGACAAGGACCUGCAACACAAGAGAACCAACUGAUAAACAACAGAACAUUUGCAUCCAUUCUCGCGAAGUUCUAUUCCCCUUCUCUGAACUGAAAUGCAGAACAUAGCAAAGAAAUAUGCAGUUAUGCAAACAGAUAUACAAGUUGACCAGUGCUCAAAGACUAACGCAGGGGAACGAGAGGUAGCUAGUAGUAACAAUACCUCAUUGACCAAUGGAUGGCUAGAUGCAGCAUGCUGAGCAGCCUUGUGCAGCGUUGGUCCGGAUCCCCCUAGAAGAAGAGAAACCUUGUUCUCUUUGGCAAUGGCCUCAGCAGCUGCCAAUGCGCUCAGAGACGAGGGCUUCACGAGCCCACCUUCAUGUUCCGCCACGACCAGUGUGCUCACCUAGAAGGGUAACACCAUAGUUAAGCUGUGGGGCAUAUCGACAGAGAAUGGAAUCAAAACCUUGUCCAAGUCACUUAUUCCACUUGCUAGAAUCAGCGCCAGGAAUUCAAACGGGAAGCAAAUAUUGCCUAGGAUAAAGGCCAGUGGUGGAUCCAGAUUUCCAGCAGACCCAGGGCAGACUAAUAAGGUAGGCAGCAUUCAAUUCAAUAUUCAGCAUAAUAAAGCAUAAGGCAGGUUCAAAUUGUCAAGUUCCAUGUGGUACAACUGCCAUAGCAUAGAAUGCAGUUCAGAGGCAUAAUGACAGGUAUCUACAAGACGUAAACAACACAAAUCUGUAAGAACUUGAACCUAGCACAAGUGGGAAGAUAAUUGGAAAAGGAACAAAUUAUACUCCCCGCUGAAGUCUAAUGAUAGCGUACGAAGCUUGUACAACGCUAACAAUCAAAUUUUACUUAGCACAUGCAGACAUGCUGCUAUAGCUUUUAAGACAAAUAUAACGUGCACGACACUGAAAACUGACCAAAAGAAACACAUGACGACACAAGCAGUUCGUUGCCCCGGGGUGGCUAGGCUGGCUACUAAUUGAUCCCCUUCAUCGGCCCCCGCUCUCGCUAGCGCCGUGGAGUCCGCGGCCAUGAUCGCCCGCCGCUCGCUCCGUGGCGGGCAUUUGCCCCGUGAAGGGGGCUCUCGCGAUUUGGGGAUUGGGGUCAGCGUCUCGGGGGAGAAGGAAUUUCGGCCGGCGCAAUGCCAAAUCGACCGUGGAAUCAAAAACCCUAUUCUAUCCAAUGAUGCGCCGAUGCGGCGCCAAUCGCAGCGAGUCCCCAGUAUAUUUGGGGCGAGUGAGCGUCGGGAGGAGGGAAGAGGGAAGGUAAAAAACACUCACGAGCCUGCGCAGCGACUCCCCGGCAAAGUAUCGCGCGCCGCCGCCCGCUCUUCCCCGCCGAAGCGCUCCGGCCAGCAACGCCGCCGCCAUGACCAUGAGCUCCUCCCCCUGGCCCUUCUCUCUAUCUACAGAGCAGAAAUGCGCUGAGAGACGGAACUCGUCAGCGAGGGGAGAACUGAAGAGAGCAAACGAGAGAGAGAGAGAGAGAGAGAGAGCCGUGAAGUAAAGUCUCACUGCUAGAGUUGGAUGAGAAACACGUGCCCGGAGUACGGUCGAGAUCAAACUGCCACGUCUGAUGGAAGCACUUUAAUAAUAGAUGCUUGAAACUUCGUAAUUUGCUUGGGCUCAAAAUCAAAACAUAGAAAAAAUUGCAAAACUUAGAAUUGUCGUAGGGCGGCAGUUGUCGUCUUAAGAAAUUGGUCCAACUUCAUUUCUAUGGAAAAAAGAGGUUGGACCUAAUGUUCAUUUUUCUCCAAAAACAAAAAAAUUCUAUGAGAUUUCUAAGGGAUCAUUUUGCUUGUUUCCUUUGAAACGAAUGCAUCUAUAGUGAAUUUUCUUAUGGAAUCCUGAAUCCUUUGAGUUUCCCGUGAAAUUCCUAUGGAACGAAUGAGGCCUUAGUCACAAUCGUCUCAGGAUUUGAAUUUGCUCUGAUGCCAGAGACGACGACACGCUAUGAGGAAUUGAGGAUUGGUAGCUAGAGACAGGGUUUAGUCAAAUUAAACUCAUAUAAACACAUCACAUCUAAUCUUUUUCCAUUAAUUUAACUUGCAUCCUGCUCUACUCAUGACUAAUAGGUUUUACAUAUGGAUUACCACUGGUGGGCGAAAAUCGAAAAUAGCAACUUAUGCCAUACCAUUUGAAUCAAAAAUCCAUGGGGGUUGUUAACCAUGGGUAAGAUUGUCACCUUUGUAGGUUAUGGAGAAGAUGGAUGCCGAGAGACCAGUUUUAGAAAGAUGUUCUCUAGUUGUUGUUUUUUUUUGUAAACUCAUGUGUUCGAUCUUGGUGUGUGGUAUUUUUCUUACAAAUAAAAACAUGGUUGUGUGCAUCCGAGGAUGCGAAGGCCAGGAGGUUCCUUCCCUUGAAAAGAUAAUACUUAUUUAAAAUUUCUCGGUCGUUUUCCGAAAUUUUAUUUCAUUUUUGUAACUGUGUGUUCAGGCAAGAUGCAUUGGAUGACAUCUUUUUAAAUAAAAAUAUGGUUGCGAGCAUCCAGAGAUGUACAGAGGUUUUCCCUUCCUUUUCGACAAAAAAAAUACUUAUCUGAAAUUGUAUAAUAAUGCACUUUUUCUAUAUUUUUGUCAAACUUUGAAUUAUUUUUAACUCAGGACUAGAUCAUAGUGGCAUGUAUAUGACAAGGGUGAGGAAUUUGGGAAUCCAAAAAUGACUAUGAGCCCGGAGACAGCCGCCACAAACCUGUACUGCAUCCAUCAGGUGGCAAAAUGCAUUUGAAGUGUGCUAUUACAUAAUUAUCCCUCCCUCGAUCCCAGAGAUAUUGGUUUGUGAGAGGUACCGCUUAUCAUUUAUUCCCUCUGUCCCAUAGUUCUUCUCGAAAUAUUAUAUGUAUGUAAACGUAUUUUUGAAAAUAGAUACAUCUAUUUUUGGUAAAUUUGAGACAAAAAAAAUUAUGAGACGGAUGGAGUACUAUAUUUAUCUCCUUCAAUGGUGAUCAUUUAGGCAAAUGGUGAUCUUAUACUCCGUAACAAGUAUCGUAGAUUUAAUACAACUAGAGGUGUAACAUGGCGACCCUCAAGGUAUCUUUUGACCCUUCUUAGUUCAAACAAAUGAGCUAGUUUUUCAAAAAGUUAUGUUAUUUUAAAUUUUUAGUUCAUCUGAUUAAACUAAAGAGGGUCAAAGGAUACCUGAGGAUCAAAAAUUUACGGCUCGAAGUACAACUCUAUACUAAAUCCGCGACACAUGAGCAUGUGACAACUUUGUAUAAUUUUUCCCUCGCUGUCAUCCUCAAUCAGCAAAUGCGCAAAAGCUGUUGGUGCCAGCCGGGGCCCGCCCAGCAGCUGCAUGGUGGACAGCACGACGGCCAUUUUUCGCCUCGCUGUCGCUACUCGCUAGCCUCCUAUUAUUAUUCCCCACUCCACGAAAACAACAUCCGCGAGAGCACUUUUCUAAGCAAAAAGAGGCUACCAAACGCAAUUAGGCAACGACACAACAUUUCCCUUUAAAAAAAGAAAAGAUGCAUGAUCGAUGCCGAGCCAAAUUAAGCUUCUCGUACAAUCCUCCAUACUGUAAUUACACGAGCUAAUGGGGUUGGAAUUUGCAUCUUCGCUUUUAUUUAUGCCCGGCGCACCAUGGCUCCUCGUUCCCGCCUAUAAAUACGGCCCCUCUGCCAAGCCUUGUGAAGGAAAUCUGCCCACCGCUCGCUCAUUCAGUCACUCUGCUUGCUUUUGCUAGGCCCUUUGCCUUCCUUCCUCCUCCUUUUCUUCGCCAUGAAACCCCCUCACUUCACCGGGGAAGCGGCCGCCGGCGCCUCCUGGGCUCACGAGGUCAAGCAGGCCCUCCGUGACAAGCUCCGGUGGACUGUCGCCGCCGCCAGGCCCACGUCCGCCGUCGCCGUGGCGGGCGCCGGCGCCGGCGCCGGCGCCGCCGCCGAGGACCCCAUCAGGAGAGUCAUGUUCUUGGCUCCAUGGGGUCACACAUAAAAAAAAGAAAGAGAGAAGCAAGUGCUUGCAUGCUUUGCGUUGCAUGUCGUAAUUGGCCGCCGCCCGGAUCUGCAGUUAACACCUGAAACAAAACCAUGGUAAUCCUAUAUAUAUGGACCAUGAACAUGAACUCAUCAAGGACUAAACACUAGAUCGACACUUGUGUAUAUCUAGUUCAUGUUGAUCUCUUGGCAUGGUGAGGAGAUCUUGACAAGUUCAUGUGUAUAUGGGUGCUGGGUUGAAGCGCAACAACUGCUAGCUGCAACUUAAACCUGUUUUGAUUUCUUCUUUCCUCGCCAAGAGAGUAUGUGUGUACUACCAAGAGCCUGUGAAAAGCUAUGUAAUUUAUGAGCUAGUAAAACCCUUCCUCCUUGAUCUGAUCUUACAUGCCCCGUUGUUUUUUGCCCAGUUGAUUCUGUUCAGAUAUACAUAGUGGAGUACUUGUGAAAUAUGCAGAGAAACCACGGUAAAAGCCAUGUUGUUUGUGUGAAAUACAAUCGCUUGUUUCAUGUCUUUUGAUCUUGAAAAGGUUGUUGGGAACCAGCAUGAAACAUGCUCAUGAAAUUAAGACUGGUGAUCUGAGGAGUUCAACCUGUUAAUUAAUUUAGAGGCAACUAAUACAGAACAAGUAAGCACAAAUAGAAAUAAAGGCAGACGACUUUGAAUUGGAUUUCUCUGUUCCUGUAAACUAGUGGUCUGAGAAUCCUGUUCUUGACAGGAACAAGAAAGAAAACAAAGGCAGCCUCCCACUUGCAAGUUGCAAAGGAUAGGCCAAAACCCAGGGUGGGCCAAUCCCCUUGCUUGCUUUCCAAAGCACCUUAUCUUAUCUCCAGAUAUCCACCAAGAAAUUGACAUUUGAUAUUAGCAAAAGAUAAACAAACUGCAUACUACAUGACAAAGGUGAUAGGCUUUGGUUCCAGCGUCCAGAUUAAGACACCAUAUUAUGGAGUGCUAGUGUUGUCUAGCUUGAGGCAACAUCUACCAGAAACUAAAUUUUUCAGGAGUCAUGCUUUUCAGAUGUCUCCUGCUCAGAAGGCAGAAUCAGUUCAGAGAUCUUGUGUUCAACCAUUUUUGGUUCUAGAUUUUAGCACAAAUGAUAUGGUCUAGUUUUAAUUACCAAGUAGCAGAUCUGUAUUUCGCCACGGCUUAGCAGAUUCGUCGAAGGCGACAAUAAUUCACUUUGAUACUACUAUUGUCACCGAGUUUUUAUCAUACAACAAAAAGAAAGAGCUAUGGAUUUAUUGUUUGGUAUGAUUUUUUUCUGGGUCAUGACUUUUUACAAAAAUCAGUUGGGUGCCAUAUGAAUCUCCUGAUCAUAACACUUGUCCACCAACUGCGGAAAAAAAAAGGGAGCAAAAUAUCAGAUGGCAGCAAAAGCUACACUUGUCUUAAUGCCUUUACUGAAAACGAUGGUUCAACUUCUACCCCUAGAGGGGUUCCAAAAGCCCGAAGUUUCCGGAUACCGUGUCUCUUUCGCCUCUUUCAAUCACAAGUUAAGCUAAAAUGACAUACUAGGCAACUUCUGCAUAAUCUUUGGAAACUUGUAAGAACAACAGUAUAGAUGUACUCUCUCUGUCUCUCUCUAUCUGUUAUCAGGAAAAAUUACAGGAUCUCUGAACUUUCAGACUAAAAGCAGAGCUUCAUCGACAAUUCAGAAUGAUGCAUCUGGAGUUCCAGGCAAAGACAGAUUCAGCGGAACAAAAUUAUCUUGGUGGCUAAAAGCAACCAUUGCUAAUCAAACAUCACAAUUUUCAGAAAGUGUGCAAACAGUUUAUCUGCAAAUCAUGGAAGACAUUCUGAAUGAUGCAUCUGGAGUUCCAGGCAAAGACAGAUUCAGCGGAACAAAAUAAUCUUGGUGGCUAAAAGCAACCAUUGCUAAUCAAACAUCACAAUUUUCAGAAAGUGUGCAAACAGUUUAUCUGCAAAUCAUGAAGACAUGGAACGGAACACGCGUACUAGGGAAAUGUUUUGCACUGGAAUGAAACCAGUCAAGAAAGUGCAAAACCUUUUCUCUGUGACCUGUCAACAGAAUGUUUUGCACUGGAAUGAAACUAGUCAAGAAAGAGCAAAACCUUAACUCUGUGACCUGUCAACAGAAACAGUACGCUUCAAUAGCAGGGAAUCUGAAGGGGUCAGGUUCCUCAGGUGGUUGAUCAAAGAAGCACUGUGGCUCUUUAACAUAAGGUACACGAUACGCCGGCUCGGCAUCUAAGAUGGAGGGUGCCCGGCCGUUGGGGAAGAAGUUUGUGCAAGACUACUACUGCAUAUUUUCUGAAAAUUGUGAGUAUGCAGAACAGCAAGGUAAUUUUGCUUCCAGAGCCAUCAUCUUGGGAGUAUACAGAAGAAGAAAAGGAUUAAUUCCGAAUCCGAUCAACCUCCCAAAUUGGCAAUCACUGACCAAAGUUUGGGGGUUGCACUGCUAGGGCACAGAUGCUACGGCUGCCAUUGACAUCUCCAGGACUCACCAUUUGAGUCAGCCCCAGGUAAGGAUAUAAUCUUACUGUAUCAGAAAACAGCAGUAUAUCUGUAUUCUCUCUGAGUAUCAACAAAAUUUACAGGAUCCCUGAACUGGAUUAAAGCAGCAACUUUCAGAUUAAGCAGAUUCAAUUGAACAAAAUUAUCUUGGUUGUUCUCCUUGUAGAAGCAACCAUUGCUAAUCCAACUCACAAUUUUCAGAAAAGCGUGCUAACACUGGGAUUGAAGUCACAUGGCUGGCAAAAUUCCAUAUUAUCAUCAUCAAUUUAUCGUCAUACACUUGUAUCACAAUCUUCAGAAAGUGUGCUUACCUGACUCCGGAAACCCACCAUUGAAUCCAUGCAUGGAAGCUGCAAAGUCGGAUCACAAAUGUUGAUCCCAAGAAGACCUGCCAAAGGCUAAAAACAUGCUCGAAAUUUUCUUAUAGAAUAAUAGUUUUCGCUUUUGUCUCAAACAGGAUAAUGAUUAUACUUAGAACAGGAAACCAUUCAUACUGCCAGGAUCCAUCCACAUGGGUUCACGUUCUUCCUACGAGCAGGACGGGGAACACUACGGAUAAUACUGGCAUGACUUGCUGCAGAAUCAAGACGGGGCAAAACGCAACACGGGAGACAGAUCUGACGACGAGAUGAUGAAGCGCCUAGUUGGCCCUGUUGGUGCACUCCCUUGAGAUAUGGCCCUCCUCGCCACAGUUGUAGCAAGCACGGCCACCGCCGCCGCCGCCGCCACGUCCACCGUAGCCGCCGCCACCACCGCCGUAGCCUCCUCCACCCUGGCUGCAGUCCCUCGCCAUGUGGCCCUCCUCGCCACAGGUGUAGCAACCACGGCCGCCACCGCCGCCGCUACGGCCGCCGUAGCCGCCUCCACCACCGCCGUAGCCGCCACCGCCGUAGCGGUCGCCUCCACCGUAGCCGCCGCCGCCGCCACCUCCGUAGCGGUCGCCGCCGCCGCCGCCGCCGCCGUAGCGCCCACCACCACCGCCUCCGCCGUAGCGGUCGCCGCCGCCGCCGCGUGAGCCGCCGGCGAGGGUUACGCCGCCAGGUCCGGUGACGUCGAUGGCCUUGGUGCGGCCAUCGUCGCCGGAUCCGACGACGAACUCGACGGUGGCGCCUUCGUCGAGGCUGCGGAAGCCGUCGGACUUGAUGGAGGACUGGUGGACGAAGAGAUCCUCGCCGCCGUCCUCCGGGGAGAUGAAGCCGAACCCCUUCUCGACGUUGAACCACUUCACGGUGCCCUUGACCCUCUCCGCCAUCUCGCUUGACCCGCCGCCGGACGAGGAGAACCAAAACCCUAGAAACCCUAGAUCGGUGUGGAGAGGAGGCGAGAGAGGGGUGCUGGCCGGCUGGGGUGUUUCUUUUAUGGCGUACUCAUUUUUUUGGUUGAAAGCCCACCAUGGGUCAUGGGCCUCAUGGCGCAGUCUGGCCAUAGUGACAAGCUCCAGCACUGGGCCAAAAGGCAAAUUGAUUUGGUAUGGUAAAUGUGAUUACCGUAUUGUUUUUUUUUUGCUAUAAGUUUGGUUAAAAAGUUUGAAAGUCAAAAAAGUUACAGAAAAUAUCACAAAACCACAACCGUUACAUCCAUCUUAUCACUUAACCACAACUUCUGGAACUUUUCUCCGAAAACCACAACCGAGCCUCCUAAUUGCCUUUGGCUUCUGUUAACAGCGAAACUGACGUUCCUGGCCCACAUGUAAGUGCUGACGGGGCAGCUGACGAGGCACCGGGCGAGCCAGACUCCGACCGGUCCGGUCGGUAGAUAAGCCGGGCAAUCCGCGAGCCCAUUCUGCGCGCGAAAAGCAAGUAUCAUUUCCCUCCAUUCGCGCCUUCACGGGCGGCGGCGGCGGCAGCUUGGAGCUCGCCGGUGGGAAGGAGCUCUUGCCCGCGAAGGAGCAUGUCGGCGGAACACUGCAAUGGAUAAUGAGGUGAGUCAACUCCAUACAUUUGGGGAUUAGGGUUUGGUUGAUUGGAAUUUGAGGAUUUUGGGAUUAGGGUUCGCUUCAUCCGCUUCGAUUUGGGGGAUUCGGUGCAUGCAGAGUGGAAUUGAAGGGGCUCACAUACGAAUUGCAGGGGAGUUGCCGCUUCUAUGGCAAAGUUCCUAUCGACAUUGACAAUGUGGAGUUCUGUGGUGUGGAGGUGGACACGAAGCUGAAGUGCCGCCAUGGGUUGCAGCCAGUUCGUAGGGUUGCCUUUGAGGGCACUGAUACAGGCCGACGCUUCAUCAGUUGUUGUAUUGAGGUAACACUCAUUUGCAGUAAAUGUAUGCGUGUGUAGAAGAGGUUAAUUGAUUCCAAUCUUGUUUGCUGCUUAGGAUGCUGACAGGUGCGAUUUCAUCUGUUGGUAUGAACCUGAAUGGCCCAUGACAAUGAAGAAUGCUCUUCAAGCUUUGUGGAAGAAGCUAGAUGAGAAGGAGCAGAGUAUGUACUGUGAGAUUGAUUCGUUGUUGAAUCACAUGUUAUAUGAGAAGUUGAAGGCAGAGAAAGAAAAAGAAGAUGUGGAGACUGAAAUAGCAGAAAUUGUAGCUGAAUUUGAGGAGAAGCUGCAGGUUAUGAGGACAACUGUCGAGAAGAAGAACAAAUGGUUCAUGAUUUCAGUUAGCUGCAAUGUAGUGAUGCUUGGAGUUUUAGCUUCUGUGUUUGCUCUCAAAACAUGAUGUGUAAUCUGUGUUUGCUCUCAAAUCAUGAUGUGUAAUCUGUCACAAUGAAUGUGCACUCAAUAUGUUGGCUGUUGUUUAUUAUGAAUGAAUAUCAUCUGUUUGAAUGCUUUUUGAAUGAAUAUCAUAUGUUUGAAUGAGUUUUGAAUGGAUAUCAUAUGUUUGAAUCUGCACAGUAAAUUGAGGAUGUGUGUAAUGCUAGAAUUGGGACGGAAUGAAACACAGACUUGCUAGAAUUUGGAUAGAAUGAAACACAUCAUGUCGAUAACAUGAACUGGAUCUUAAAGUGCCAUAUAAGCUUGCCAAAAUACACACAUAUUCAGUCGCUUGUACAGCCACACAACCUGGCCAAAUGCAUAUACUCGGUCACUUCUACAGCCACACAACCUGGCCAAAAUGCACACAGUCUCAGUCACUUCUACAGCCAUAAGAGGUUCACAACAACAUAACAAGUUCACAACUACCAUAAGAGGUUACACAGCAUUGUCAUCAACUCUGAAAGAAGAUUCUACCCCUGCAGUGAAGUACUCCAUCAUUCUUCCCCUUGGUUUUGUCACUCCUCCUCUUCCUCUAACAGCAGGCGUCUUUGCUGCCCUUGGAACUCUAUCUGGUGCAGACCUGGGAGCUUCAUAUGCUGGCUCUGGAGUUGUGUAGCUUGGUUUUGGAGGUGGGUAGCUUGCUAAUGGUGGUGGUGGUGUGUAGUUUGGUUCUGGAGAUGGGUACCUUGCUAGAGGUGGUUCAGUGCUUACAUCUCCUCCUGCUGAGCCUCCUUCAUCUUCUUGCCUUCUUCUAUUACUCUAAUGACAUGAAAAAGAAGUUAGUUAUGCUUAGUGUUAUAUAAAUGUGUAUAAUAGAAAUCAUUAAAUUACCUGAUGUUGUCUUUUCCUAAUCUCCAGAUCAGGCCUCAAAGGUUUGGAGCAGCUUGUGUACUUAUGGCCUUGCAAGUGACAGUUGCUACAAGUGGAAGUUGUCAUUCUCUCUUUUCCUACAGGUAUCUUAGCUUUCUCAUCUGCUCCUUUCCUUCUAUUCUUCUUACUUCUACCAGGGUGGUUCAAGAAAAUAGAUGGAUCAAUAUCAGGACUGGCUGUCUUGGUCCAUGCAUGCUUGCCAGGGACUGGAUACACAAACAGCUUGUGUUCUUCUUUGUAUAAAGGCAUUUUGAAAAAUGGGCUAACAUAGUCUAGGUGACUUCUUACUUUGUAGAUGGCAGCACAAGCAUGCUUGCAUGGCACUCCAUUCAGGUCCCAUCUUCUGCAGCCACAUGUGUGAGCUAACAAGUUAACAGGAUAACUAUGAUCUCCACUUCCUACCUGCCAUAUUCCUUGUCCAGCACACACUGGCCUGCAUGGCCUUGAUCUCUUUUUCUCCAUCUCUAACUGUUCAACAUACUUUGGACAUAUCUCCCAAUUAGCUGUUGCAGCCCCCUCUCUCUUUUGGUUAAAUCUGGCAAUUAGUUUAGUCCUAAUCCCUUCUAUCAUUGUUAUAAUAGGUUUAUCUCUUAAUGAUAUGAUGAAUUUGUUGAAAACCUCACAUAAGUUGUUGACCACUAAAUCAGUUUUACAAUUGGUGUCCAUAGCAUGUCUACACCAGUGCUUAGUUAGUAUCUUGUUCAACCAUUCCCAUGCAGCCUCAUACUCAUCUUUCAAAGCAGCCAUAGCCUCAUCAAAGUGGUGCUUAGUGUAUGCAUAACUAGCACUGUACAUUAACUUCUUUAAGUCACCACCCUUAAACCCUGUUGUCUGAUAAUUCUGGUACAAAUGCCUAAGACAAUAUCUUUGUUCACAAUCAGGAAAAACUCUGUCUAAGGCUCCAAGCAGACCCUAUUAAUGUAAUAAAGUAUUUAUGUCAGCCAUACGAAACAAUUUCAACUUUGAAUUCAUAUUUCCUACAUAUGUAUGUAUGUAGCAUACCUUGUGUCUAUUAGACAUGAAGGUCCAUCUACCAAAUGGGCCCGAAUCACCACCAAGUGCAUAUUUGAGCUGUUCCAAGAACCAACACCAGCCAGGGGUAUCCUCUUUGCCAACCACAGCAAAAGCCAAAGGAAACAAAUUAUUGUUUCCGUCCCUUCCUGAAGCUGCCAAGACUUGAGCCCCAGUGGUCAACUUGAUAAAACACCCAUCAACACAUGAUAAUAUACAUUUUUUGUUAUUUAACUAUGAAAUGUACCGGAUAGUGUUUUAAACAAUGGGACAAUAGUUUAAUGAUUUACUUAUGAAGGGCCUGCAUCCAUUUUUAAAUCCUUCAAUUUGUGCAUUCAGGCAGUAGAACAGCCCAUGAAACCUAGGAUUGAUAGCUGGCCUUGGUUGCAUCAUGGUGUGGACAAUACACCUGCUGCCUGGAUUGGUAUCAAGGACAGUCUGGAGGUAAUCUCUAAUUCUCACAUAUUGCUCCUUGUGAUUCCCUAACACCACCUCAACUGCCUUUGCUCUUGCCCUAUAAGCUGUCAAUUUUGACACUUCAACACCAUAGUUUCUGAUGGUCUUGUCAAUCAUUGCUGUUACUUUCCAAUCUGGGUCACUCCUUAUUGCCUCCUCAUAUAUCUUGCUAAGCCAGCCACUAGUGACCCUUGAUGUCUCCUAGUCUAUUCCACAGGAAUGAUUCAUUACAAGCUUUCUAAUGCACACUGUCUUCUCAUGUUUAAUUUGUGAAGCUACCAUAUAGAAUGGACAUAAUUUUUUCCUACAACGAACAAUUACUCUAUCUCUAUCAUUUCUGAGAUACUUGUAGUCUCUAGCUUGUGCAAUGUGCAAACCCUUUAGAGCACGUCUAAACUGAUGGACAUCAGUAAAGCACAUGCCUAACAUAAUCUGAUCAUAAGGCUGCUUCCUAGCUUCAUCAUACCAUACCCUAGGAGGUAACUUCUUGGCUCUACUCUUCUUCUUAAGUGGUUGCAUCAGUGUAGCUACUUCAGCCUCAUCAUCAUCACUAGAUCCCAACUCUUCUUUGAUGUUCAGAUCAUCAUCAGACAAUACAAAUACUGGGACAUCACUACUAGAACCUUGGGCUGAUGCAUCUCUCUUCUGUGUCCCAAUUGUUGAAGCUUUCCUUUUCCUUCCUGUGCUGACAGAUGCUUGAGUUUCUUGCACUGGAGCUUCAACAUUAAUUGGAACUGGAUCUGGCAGAGGCACAUCAUCUGGUUCAGCAAACAAAUCCUCAUCUUCUAUAUCUCUUUCUACAUGCAAUUCAGGAUCAUCUUUCUCUCUCUAAAUCUCUUGCAUUUUCUCCAAUGCCUCCAAGUCCACUAUAUUCCCACUGCCAUCAGGUGCAAAUGCUUCAUCUGCACUGCUAUCAUCUGAAAGUACCGACAUGCCCUCCUCAUCAAUGCUAGCAAUGCCUUUCCCUUUGUCCUUCUGCAAAUGCAAACUCUCUUUAUUCACACUCUCUUGUGUGCCAACAUCUGCUGCCUCAACAAACUCAGGUUAUCUAGUUGGCUUAAAAGAUCUCUUAGGCUUUGAAGGUGAUGGCUUCAAUUUGGGCUUCAAAGGAGAUGUACAUUUCCUAAAGAUUGUCAAGGUGACUUUCUUGACAGCCUCAUACUUCUUCACCAUCUCUUCUACCUUCUCAUUGCUAUCUACCACCUCAAGCCCAGCAAUGCCUUUGCUUUCUUGAUUCAUAUAGUACAUAUAUGAAUCCCCAAUGUAUCCAAAGGUAGAAAUCAAAUUGAGCAAGUUCUGAUAUCUCAAAUCUGUCCUGCCAAUCCUUCGUUUAACCAUGUCUAAGCCAUCAAACAGCAGGUUGACAUCCCAAACCUCAUCGUCAAGCCUACGGCAUUUGAAUGAAAAAGUAGUCAAUUCAGAGCACAAAUAACAGAAACUCGCCCCAAAAAGUACACCUAAUUCAUGUCUAACCAAACCCUAACCUCUCAACCUCUAUCAGGUCCCGAUUUACCUAACCCUAGCUAAUUCGUCACCAUUGUCAAAAUACUCCAUGACGCAGCGAUUAUUCCCACAAAUGCAAUCCACCUAAAUCCGCAACGAAAAUCACCAAAAAAAAACGUCGAUCAUCCAAAUCCCCCAACCCUUCCUCGCAAGCACAUACCAUCGCGAACAAAUCAACCGACCCCAAGAUGCGAGAGAAUCAGGAAAGAGAUCGACGGAUCUUACCAAACCCCGUCGCCAUAGUCGCUCCAGUUUAUCGACAUUGCCGCCGUAGAUCUCCAGCAGCACGCCCGGCGACGCCCAACCCGUCGUCGUCGCCUACUCUGUCGCCUUUUCAGAGAGAGAGAGAGAGAGAGAGAGAGAGCGGGGAAGGAGGGGAAUGGACUGGUUCGGUCGAACCAGAUCCAAACCCAAAUAAACCAGCCCGGUGCUCCGUCAGCACUUACACGUGGGCUAGGAACGUCAGUUUCGCUGUUAACAGAAGCCAAAGGCAAUUGGAGGCUCGGUUGUGGUUUUCGGAUAAAAAUUCAAGAAGUUGUAAUUAAAUGAUAAGAUGGACGUAACGGUUAUGACUUUGUGAUAUUUUCUCAAAAAGUUAUACAACCUGUAUUUCGGAACGAAGGGAGUGGUAAUUUCUUGUCGAUGUGCACUUGUUUGCUUAUUUAGCUGUUGGUUCCUUUCGUUUUUUUCUUAAGACAUACGGUUCAGCCUCUCAUACUACUCGGGACAGAGGUAGCAGCUGAUAAUAAAGCUCUUUAUUUAGACAGAUAUAUAAACAUAUUGCUGGAAUAUAUCAUUGAAGAAACACGUUCCACUACACCAUGUGAAAUGUUCAUAACAAAGUUCACGCAAAAUUGUUCCCUGUGACGACUGACCAGACACACACAUAGACUUCGCCCCACGCGGGCUUGGAUAAUACCCCGUUGAGCGGCCCAUUUCGCUCCCCGCCUGCUGGUGCCCACAGCCCACUGUCCGCGCGUCUUGAAGAAAACCGACGAGCCACAACCAGGCUGCCAGCCAUGACCCACUGUCUUACGGCUCAAAUUCUCGAUUCACCGCCGCCGUGGGUUCAGCCUGAACCUUGAACACUAAUAAGUAGUAUCUCCUUGCUCUCAAAAAAAAAAAGCAAUAUCUCCUGACAAUAUAGUACUCCUUCCUCUGUUCCAUAUUAAUCCUCUGUUCCAUAUCAAGUGACUUUUUAUUACAUGUAUCUAAUUUAGACAUUUUUUAGGCAUAGAUACAUCCGCAUAUUACAUGUAUCUCCUUGCUCUCUCUCUCUGUCGGGAAGAAUUACAGGAUCUCUGAACUUUCAGAUUAAAAGCAGAGCUUCGAUGCAUCUGGAGUUCCAGGCAAAGACAGAUUCAGCUGAACAAAAUAUCUUGGUGGCUAAAAGCAACCAUUGCUAAUCAAACAUCACAAUUUUCAGACAGUGUGCAAACAGUUUAUCUGCAAAUGAUGGAGACAUGAAACCGAACAAGCAUAUAGGGAAAUGUUUUUGCACUGGAAUGAAAACAGUCAAGAAAGAGCAAAACCUUUUCUCUGUGACCUGUCAAAGUUUUGAACUGGAAUGAAACCAGUCAAGAAAGAGCAAAACCUUUCUCUGUGACCUGUCAACAGAAACAGUAUGUUUCAAUUGCAGGGAAUCUGACCCCUUCAGAUUCCUCAGGUGGUUGAUCAAUGAAGCAUUGUGGCUCUUUGCCUCAAGGUACACGAUACGCUGGCUGAGCACAGAAGAUGGAGGGUGCCUGACCCUUGAGGAAAAAGCUGGUGCAAGACAUCUACUGCAUAUUUUCUGAAAAUUGUGAGUAUGCAGAACAGCAAGGUAAUUGAGCUUCCAGAGCCAUCAUCUUCGGAGUAUACAGAAGAAGAAAAGGAUUAAUUCCAAACUUCUGAUCGACCUCCCAGGCGAUCGCUGACCAAAGUUUGGGGUUGCAUUGUGAGGGCACUGUUACUAAGGCUGCCAUUGAUAUUUCAAGGACUCACCAUUUGAGUCAGCCCAGGUAAGGAUAUAAUCUUACUGUAUCAGAAAACAGCAGUGUAUCUGUGUAUCAACAAAAUUUACAGGAUCUCUGAACAGUAUUAAUGCAGCAACUUUCAGAUUAUGCAGAUUCAGUUGAACAAAAUCAAACAUCACAAUUUUCAGAAAAGUGUGCUAACACUGGGAUUCAAGUCACAUGGCUGGCAAAAUUCCAUAUCAUCAUCAUCAUACACUCGCAGUUAUCACAAUCUUCGGAAAGUGUGCUUACCUGACUCGGCAAACCCACCAGUGAAUCCAUGCAUGGAAGCUGCAAGUCGGAUCACAAAUGUUGAUCCCAAGAAGACAUGCCGAAGGCUAAAAACUUGCUCGAAAUUUACUUUUAGAAUAUAGUUUUUGCUUCUGUCUCAAACAGGAUAAUGAAAUUACUUAGAACAGGAAAUCACUCAUACUCCCAAGGAUCCAUCCACAUUACUUCACGUUCGAGCAGGACGGGGAACACUACAGAUAAGACUGGCAUGACUUGCUGCAGAAUCAAGACGGGGCAAAACGAAACACGGGAGACAGAUCUGACGACGAGAUGAUGAAGCGCCUAGUUGGCCCUGUUGGGGCACUCCCUUGAGAUAUGGCCCUCCUCCCCACAGUUGUAGCAAGCACGGCCACCGCCGCCGCCGCCGCCGCCACGUCCACCGUAGCCGCCGCCGCCGCCGCCACCGCCACCGCCGUAGCCUCCUCCACCCUGGCUGCAGUCCCUCGCCAUGUGUCCCUCCUCGCCACAGGUGUAGCAACCACGGCCGCCACCGCCGCCGCCGCCGCCGUAUCGGUCGCCGCCUCCGUAGCCGCCGCCACCCCCACCGUAGCGGUCGCCGCCGCCGCCGCCGUAGCGCCCACCACCACCGCCUCCGCCGUAGCGGUCGCCGCCGCCGCCGCGUGAGCCGCCGGCGAGGGUGGCGCCGCCAGGGCCGGUGACGUCGAUGGCCUUGGUGCGGCCAUCGUCACCGGAUCCCACAACGAACUCGACGGUGGCGCCUUCGUCGAGGCUGCGGAAGCCGUCGGACUUGAUGGAGGACUGGUGGACGAAGAGGUCCUCGCCGCCAUCUUCCGGGGUGAUGAAGCCGAACCCCUUCUCGACGUUGAACCACUUCACGGUCCCCUUGACCCUCUCCGCCAUCUUGCUUGACCCGCCGCCGUACGAGGAGAACCAAAACCCUAGAAACCCUAGAUCGGUGUGGAGAGGAGGCGAGAGAGGGGGGUCUGGGGACCUGGGGUGUUUCUUUUAUGGCGUACUCAUUUUUUGGGUUGAAAGCCCAUCAUGGGUCAUGGGCCUCAUGGCUCAGUCUGGCCACCAUAGUGAUAAGCUCCACUACUGGGCCAGGCCCACCCGACAGUUCAAAGCGUGUAUUGAAAUUUCGGCAAACACACAAGAACGUGAAGGAAAAAAAAACUUUUCACUAUUGAAAUAUGUUCCACAGCCUGUAACAAGAACGUGCCCAAUUCAUAUGAGAUCAACGCAAAGAUGGGUGCCAGCGAAGAGGGGUUAAAAUACGCCAAUCUAUAUGCACGUACAGGACAUGCACCAACAGCCGAGAUAUUGCACGACUGACACUGGACAGACUGAGGUUGCCAUCAACAAUCCACUACCAAAUCAAGCGCCGAACAAGUCUGGUAUGUAGAAGGAAAAAAUGCUGAGGAAGAAGUUGCUGAAAAAGAAGAGAUGGGCUGCGGCUUCACGGGCGGCCGGAAGCUUUCUGAAGGCAAAGGAAUCGAUCCUAGGAAGAAAUGGGAGUACGCGGAAGAGGACAUACAGCUGCCGAUAGAGGAGAAAGAAGCAGAAGAGCAGCAGAACCAUGAGGUGCUCCCAGAUGAGGUGGAGGCACCUACUGCCAAGAAGACGAAGCACACAGGAGAUGGGACACAGAGGACAGUUGAGGAGGAUGGGAGUGCGACCAGCCUUGGGGCCGCUGGCAAACUGACGGAGCUCGAUGAGCUCCGUCAGGAGCCAUGAAUUUUCUGGCCUGGAACUGUCGUGGAGGGGGGAAUACCACGACAGUUCGUGAGCUGGUACGUUUUUCCCAGAAAUUGCAGCUGCAGUUAGUGUUUUUGUGUGAGACGAGGCAGAAUAAAGAUAAAGUUAGUCGUCGCCUCCGUAAUCGUUUAGGUUUGUCGGGUUUUGCUGGAGUUGAUAGUGCGGGUACAAGUGGGGGUCUGGCACUGUUUUGGCAUGAGCAGUUCGAUGUCGAUGUUAUUUCCCUGAAUAAAAACUUUAUUGAUGUUUAUAUCCGUGUCUCCUCGGAUGCUCCUCAGUGGAGGCUGUCUUGUAUAUAUGGUGAGCCACGGACUGAGAAUAGAGGUCAGAUCUGGGCUGAGCUGUUUAAUAUGCGAAGUAAAUUUGCCCUACCGUGGUUGGUCAUGGGGGAUUUCAAUGAGGCUUUUUGGCAAUGUGAACAUCUGUCAGCGUGUCCGCGUCCUGAACAGCAAAUGAGGGCCUUCAGAGAUACACUGUAUAAUUGUGGUCUGAUGGAUCUGGGGUACUCCGGUGUACCGUCACGUAUGACAAUAGAAGAUCCGGAACCAGGAAUGUCAAGGUGAGACUUGACCGAGCUGUGGCGGAUGAUGAGUGGAGGGACAUGUUUGGUCAGGCCAGGAUUGAACAUCUGAUUUCCCUGUGCUCGGAUCACAACCCGAUCCUUGUCAGAGUGGUAGAGGAUAGAGCCAUGGGGCCUAGGAAAUUAAGCAGACAUUACGAGCUUUUUUGAGAAAGAGCUGCGGAGCUACCGGAACUAAUUUCUGAGGCCUGGAGGGAGACGCAGGCGGCAGGUGAUUUGGGCAGGAUUUUUUCCGGGCUUGAAGAGAUUAUGAGGAAACUGCAGUCGUGGAGUAAAGGCAAAUUUGGUAACAUUACAAAGGAGCUGGACACCGAGAGGGACAGAAUGUCACAGUUGUAUCUGAACAAUGCUGAUUAGAGAGAUCAGGAAGGUCAAUGACCGUAUCAAUGAGCUUCUCUACCAAGAGGAACUGCUGUGGAUGCAGAGGUCACGCAUCGACUGGAUUAAAGCGGGUGAUCGAAAUACCAAAUUCUUUCACCAAAAAGCUGUUUGGAGAGCUAAAAAGAAUAAAAUUGGGAAAUUAUGCGAUGAGAACAAUAACUGGGUUGAGGACACGCCUACGCUGGAGAAGAUGACCACGGAUUAUUUUCGAAAUAUUUUUACCAAGGACCAGAGUUUAGACCCAAGACCGAUUGUUGAAUAAAAUCUCAGAGGAUAUGAACAAGCAGAUGUGCAAGGAGUUCACAAGGAAGGAAAUUGGGGAUGCUUUGUUUCAAAUUGGGCCGCUUAAAGCGCCGGGGCCGGACAGUUUCCCAGCCAGGUUCUAUCAACGUAAUUGAGCUGUCCUUGAGGAGGACGUGGUCCAGGCUGUGUUGGGCUUCUUUAGUUCUGGCCAGAUGCCGAAGGGAGUAAACAACACUUCUAUUGUGUCAAUUCCAAAGGUUGCCCAGCCAAAAACCCUGAAGGAUUUUCGGCCCCUCUCACUUUGCUCAGUGUUGUACAAAAUUGUGGCCAAAUGUCUGGUCAACAGAUGGAGGCCGCUGUUGGAUGAGAUAAUAUCGGAGAAUCAGAGUGCCUUUGUGCCGGGACGCCUUAUCACAGACAAUGCUUUGAUCGCCUUUGAGUGCUUCCAUUUUAUCGAGCAUAGUAAUAACCAGAAUAACCAAUUUUGUGCGUACAAAUUGGACCUGUCGAAGGCCUAUGACAGGGUUGAUUGGGAUUUCCUCCGUCUAACACUGGACAAGGUGGGUUUUGCAAAGAAAUGGAUUGAUUGGAUUGUGGCUUGCGUCACAACAGUUAAUUAUUCUGUCAAGUUUAACGGCGUGCUCCUGGAGGCGUUCACGCCCACCCGGGGACUGAGACAAGGGGACCCACUUUCUCCUUUCUUGUUCCUGUUUGUGGCUGAUGGCCUUUCGGCGAUCCUGAAAAGGGAAGCUAGACUGAAUAAUAUUACGCUGCUGAAGAUUUGCAGAAGUGCGUCUGUCACAUCUUCUUUUCGCCGAUGAUACUCUGCUCUUUUUUAAGGCGGAGGCCGAACAAGCAAGGACAGUGCAGCAAGUUCUCAACAGCUAUGCUUGCGGCACUGGACAACUGAUUAAUUUCUCUAAAUGCUCCUUGCUGUUUGGGAAAGAGUGUGAUGCGGGCACAAUUCAGGAGGUUAAGAAUAUACUCCAAGUGGAUCAAGAGGGAUUCGAGGCCAAGUACCUGGGGUUGCCAACUCCAGAAGGGAGAAUGAAUAAGUUAAAGUUCCAGAGUUUGCAAGAGAAGCUUAGUAAAAAGGUGUUGCAAUGGGGUGACAAUAGACUCUCGCAGGGUGGGAAAGAGGUGAUGAUCAAAGCGGUAGCACAAGCCAUUCCUACGUACGUCAUGGGGUUGUUCAAGUUGCCUGCGGGUCUAUGUGAAGACCUAACAAAGAUUAUCAGGGAUUUGUGGUGGGGAGCGUGAAGGGGCGUGUAGAGAUAAACAAAAACUUUUCCUACGCGAACUCCCAAGAUCUAGCCGAGGUAGAAGGCCACGAGGAUUACCACUAGAAGCGUAGUUUCGGAUUAUCGAUGCGGCGCCUUGAUGCAGUGCAGUCCCUCGAUCCGAUCCAGCCGAUCCAAUCCCGCGAUCGUCGAAGUGCUGAACGUACAGCACCUCUGCCGGUAUCCACACGUGCGAGGAGGAGCUCCGGCGGCGGACUGCUAGGUCCGGUGCGACGGUUGGACUGAAUGGGGCUAGGGUUCUCAACGCAUGAGAGUGGAAAAACCGUGCCCCUUAGGCAUCCCACGCCCCUACUUAUAUACCGAGUGGAAGUGGGCUCCAGCACUUGUGGCCCAUCCACUCUGCGAGUCCAACUCGCAUUGUCAGCCCAAUUCCAGUUCGGGUCUAACCCGACCAAAUACUUGCUCCCGCACGUAAGUGUGUGACCCCGCAGGCUCAUGGCGACUUGGACACGAUUGGAGUCCGACUCUCAAUCGAUCAAUCGGUAGCGGCUCCUAGCAGAACGUGCCGACUCCCAAGUACCAUCGAGUCAUGAUGACGUACCUUCCAAUGUGACAUACGUCUUAGUCCCUUUUGCCUCACGAUAUACCUUGUCAAACUAUAGGCGAUUAAUCGUCAUCCCUUUAAUAGUUCAACUCUCUUCUCGAUCUGUGAUAUACGAUUCAUCCGACUAACUCUUAGUCGAUCGACCCGGUUAACAGUUAACCAAGUCGCGCAUGGCCAUGCUUCCCGAAUCAUAUCACUCGAGAGGGCCCAAAGAAUAUCUCUCCAGUCGGAGGGGCAAAAUCCCAUCUUGGUUAUCCACAUCACACAGCUUGAUUCUCAGUCAACCCGAACUCUGCCUUUAUAACUGCCCUGUUACGGAACAACGUUUGACAGAACCUAAGUUGGUGAUCCACAACUCGGAUUGUGCGAUAACCUCAGGUCUAAGGAUUACAUUGAUUGAGACAUGCAAAUGACGACCUACUCGUUGCAUCUCAAUAUGGGUCAGUCCGACUCGCUAAACUCUUUAGCCGAGUCCGUGUAAGCUGGAAUGACAUCACCAUGCCCAUGACAAGUGGAACCGAGUCAUCAGCCAACUUUCACAUUAGUCUAGGUUAUGUGUCCAGCACAACCACAAUGACGUAGGACAAUUUAGUAUGAACAACAUGAAUACAUAGUUCCACAAUCAAAUCACAUAUUCAAUGAUACAUAUCAGAUGUUCAAACAAGGACAACUCAAUAAUAUUUAUGAAUACAUUGGGAAUUACAUCAUACAUGAUUGCCUCUAGAGCAUAUUCCCAACAGAGCGGAGCAUGGGAAAAGGAAAACCCAUUGGGUGGCUUGGGACGCCCUGCUCUGGCCAAAGAAUAUGGGAGGGCUGGGCUUUAGAGACAUGGAAACUUUUAACCAAGCACACCUGGCCAUGCAAGCGUGGCGUUUGAUUGAUAAGCCCGAGUCCUUUUGUGCUAGAGUUCUGAAAUCUAAGUCUCAUGGAUCGCUGGUGGAUACCGUCUUCACUGGGAACGCUUCUUCCUCUUGGCAAGCGAUCGAGCAUGGCCUCGAACUGAUUAAGAAUGGUGUCAUUUGGAGAAUAGGUAACAGGCAGAGUGUGCACAUUUGGAGAGAUCCAUGGAUCCCGCGUGAUUAUGGCAGACGUCCAAUAACACCAAAGAUAAAUUGCCGACUCAAAUGGGUUUCUGAACUGAUGACCCCUGACGGCAAUUGGAACAUGGAGAUUUUGACUACUUUCUUUCCCCCGGUGGAUAUUGAUUAUAUUGUCAGGAUUAAACCAUCGCCAAGAAACGAUUGUGACUUCUUAGCUUGGCAUCCGGACAAAAGAGGACAUUUCUCGGUGCGGUCUGCUUACCAUCUUGGUCGCACCCUGGCUACUGUUGGACAGAGUUCCGGAGCUACGAGUAGUAGGCCGGAUGGAUCCAGCACAAAAUGGAAAGCCAUCUGGAAUGAGAUUGUGCCGAGGAAGGUUAAUAUCUUUGCUUGGAAGCUUGCAAGGGACGCCCUCCCCACUGAAGUUAAUUUUUGCAAGCGAAAAAUGAGGAAGUUUGCUACUAUUUGUGGUGCAGAUCAGGAGGAUUCUUUUCACGCCUUAGUACGUUGCCCCAAUGCUUGUGGUCUGUGGCAGACCAUGAAGGAGUGCUGGGAUUUGCCGGACGUAAAGGAGUGGCAGCAUUCAGGCCCUGGCUGGUUCCUGGAGGCUAUCUCCGACAAGGAUCAGGUGAAGGCUUCGAUGUUAUUCAUGCUGCUUUGGCGCAUUUGGCACGUACAUAAUGACAUCACGCAUGAUAAGGUCCUUGCCCCGGUUGAGGCAUCAAAGCGCUUCCUAUGUAGUUACAUGGAUUCCCUGUUGAUUAUCAAGCAACACCCUGAGGUUGAGGUGGUCAAGGGCAAGCAGGUGGCCUCUUAUUCUGCCAGAUCGAUGAAACAUAAAAAUCAAACUGGUCAGAAAGCUGCUACGGAUGACAGAUGGAUCCCACCGGACGUGGACUCUGUCAAAUUAAGCGUUGAUGGAUCUUUUUCGCCAGAUGAUGGCUCUGGUGGUGUUGGUCUGGUGCUACGGGACCAUCAAGGAAAAAAUCAUUAUCUCGGCCUAUCGAAAUAUCCAAUGGUGCAAUGAUGCCCUUGAGGCUAUGCUUCUGGCAUGCGAGGAAGGCCUUCGUGCGGCCAUUGGAUGGUCUGACAAGAUCAUCAUCCUUGAGUCUGACUGUGCCGAGGCCCUCUCUCUGAUUAGUGCCAAGAUACCAGAUAGAUCGCCGUAUGCCCUGUGUGUGCGGGAGAUCCGAAGACUUCUUGAUGCGCACCCAAUCAGUGUGGGCAAGAUUAAUAGGAAUCAAAAUUGUGUCAGCCACAUCCUGACGAACCUUGCUAGGAGUAAUAAUCAUACUGCUAGUUGGAUCCGGCAUGGGCUGCAUGAGAUCUUAGAUGUUGUGAUCUCGGACCGUAAUCGUUUUAACUGAUUAAUGAAGUUUCUUUUUUAAAAAAAAAACAGCCGCAUGCAUGGCUAGUUAAUUUGUCGGGAAAUGCAUGCAGAGAAGCAAAUUAGGCAAAGAUUUACUCCUUCCCGUGCGCAUUACGUUACGUACAAAACAUAACCAUCUUCUCUGGUGUCAAAUGGUGUUCAUGCAAUUAAGACUUGCAUGGAAUUACCGCUGUGUAGACUUUGGGGCUAAGCCUGCCAGGCGAAGGCGAAGAUUGAGGCGCAUUCAUGCAGCAGAAGGAUGAAAUUACCGUAGGCGCUACUCCAUUGGUCAGACAGAGUCGGUUCGUUCCUGUAUAUAAUCUGCAAAGGGGCAUUCGCUUCUACUAUCUCGUAUAUCCACCCUGAUCUUAAUUGGCAAACGGCUCCAAGUUAAAAGGUUAAUUUCUUUCUCGAUUUCAUGGCUUUCGUCUCCCAGCUGCAGCUCGCGGCUGAUCUGCCGGCGGCGAGCAUGGUGUUCACGGCCCUGCUGGCCGGCAUCUUACUCCUGCUUCUCGUCUCCAAGAAGCUCACCGGCAGCAAUGGCCGGAUCAGUGGGCUGCCGUUGCCGCCAUCGCCGCCGGGCCUGCCGGUAUUGGGCCACCUGCACCUGCUGGGCCCGCUGCCGCACCGGAGCCUGCGGGAUCUGGCCGCGAAGUACAGCCCAGUGAUCCACCUCCGGCUGGGCCGCGUGCCGACGGUGGUGGCCUGCUCGGCGGCGGCUGCCGAGGAGGCCAUGAAGGCCCGCGACCUGGCCUUCGCGAGCCGGCCCAGGCUCGCCAUGGUGGACCGCUUCUACUAGGGCUCCGGCGGCAUCGGCUUCGCCCCCUACGGCGAGCACUGGCGCCAGGCCCGCCGCGUCUGCGUCACGCAUUUUCUCUGCCCCCGCCGCGUCGCCUCCCUCGCCCGCCUCCGCCGCCAGGAAGCCGCCGCCCUCGUGGCCCGCAUCCGCCGCGCCGGCGCCGGAGACGAAGGCAUAGUGACCCUGAGCGAUAGCCUGAUCGUGUACUCCAACACGGUGGUGAUCUCCCGGGCGGUCUUCGGCGGCGACAAGGGAUUCUCGGAGCAAGGAGGGGAUAGGAUGAGGAAGGCGUUCGCGGAGAUCGAGGAGCUCCUGGGCACGGCGCCCAUGGCGGAGACGGUGCCGUGGCUCCGGUGGGUGGACGUGCUCGUCACGGGACUCGAAGCCAAGACCCGCCGCGCGUUCCAGGAGAUGGACGCGCUCCUCGACCGCGUCAUCACCGACCACCGCCAGAAACGCCCCCGCCAAGCCGCCGGAGCCGAGGAAGACGACGACGACGAAGACCGGGACUUCGUGGAUGUCCUUCUAGAAGAAUACGGCGGGAGCAGCGAGGCCGAGGGCGCCAUGAAGGGGGUCAUCCUGGACAUGCUGGCGGCGGCCACGGACUCGACAUUCACGCUGCUGGAAUGGGCCAUGGCGGAGCUCAUCAACCACCCCGACAAAAUGCUCAAGCUCCAACACGAGAUCCGCCACGCCGUCGCCCGCUCCUCCGGCUCCGCCGGCGAUGGCGGCGCCGUGACGGAGGGACACCUGCCGGAGCUGCCGUACCUGAAGGCGGUGGUGAGGGAGACGCUGCGGCUGCACCCGCCGACGCCGCUGCUGCUGCCGCGGGAGACGCGGCAGGACACGGAGCUGCAGGGCUACGCCGUGCCCAAGGGCACGCGCGUCCUGGUCCACGUCUGGGCCAUCGCCCGGGACCCGGCCAUCUGGGGCGCCGACGCCGAGGAGUUCGUGCCCAGAGGUUCCUCGGCUACGACGACGGCGACUUGCUGCAGAAGAAGGACUUUGCUUUCUUGCCGUUCGGGGCCGGGAGGAGGGGCUGCCCAGGGGUGGGGUUCGCCAUGCCGUCCAACGAGCUCGCGCUGGCGAGUUUGGUGUACAGCUUCGACUGGGAGCUGCCGCAUGGAGAUGGAGCUGGUGGGGGAAAGAAGAAGGUGGACAUGAGUGAGCUCCAUGGGCUCUCUGUGCGCCUCAAGACGCCGCUGCUUCUCGUCGCCAGACCGUAUGAUGCUGGCAGCAGGGGUGGGCAGGGGGCUGCUUAAGUUGUUAAUUGUUCCUAUGUAUGAUGAACUGGCUAGCUAGCUCGGAGUUGGUAGGAUCUAGCUAGGAUGUGCAUUGAUUUGGAAGAUUUUGUAUAAGCUAGAUCGACUCCUUCCGUUAAUAAAAAUGCAGACAAGUUGUGAGUUGAGGAGAUGAACCAUUUCAGAAUACAAGACUCUGAUAAAACACUUAUAGCAACUUGAACUUAUCCGGAGGGUUUCCGUCCUUUUCAAAAAAAAAAAAAACGUGAAAUAUGUGUUUCGUGGCAUAUUGAUUUGGUAUGGUAAGUGUUAUUAUUAUUUUUGCUAUAAGUUUGGUGAAAAAGUUUGAUAGUCAAAAAAGUUAUACAACCUGCAUUUCAGAACGGGGGAGUGGUAAUUUCUUGUCGACGUGCACUCGUUUGCUUAUUUACAUGUUGGUUCCUUUCCCUUUUUUCUUAGACAUACGGUUCCGCCUUUCACAUUAUUCGGGACGGCGGGAGUAGUUGAUAAUAAAGCUCUUUGUUUCGACAGAUAUAUAAACAUGUUACCGGAAUACAUUAUUGAAGAAACACGUUACACUGCACCAUGUGAAAUGCUCAUAACAAAGUUCACGCAAAAUUGUUCCUUUUUUUUAGAGCAGCAAAACUGUUCCUUGUGAGUUGUGACGACUGACCCGACACACACAUAGACUUGGUUACGGAUUCCGGCCCACGCGGGGUCGGAUAAUAAUACCCCGUCGAGCGGCCCAUUUCGCUCCCCGCCUCGCUGGUGCCCACUGCCCGCGCGACUUGAAGAAAACAGACGAGCCGCUGCCAGUCUGCAACGGUGGCCCACUCUCUGACAGCCCAAAUUCUUGAUUCAGCGCCGCCGCGGGUUCAGCCUGAACCUACCGGCUGGCACACAAAGCAGCAUCUCCUGACAACACAGACAGCAGCAUGAUGGGGCAUGGCACAGAUAUACGCGGAGAACAGUAUGAAGAAGUAUACGUUAGCUUACUCCGUAUGAUGUAUACAGUUUUUGAACUGUUGACAAAUGUACAUAUAUUAGCCAACUGACUGAUGUAUAUAGAGUUCCUCCAAGCCUACGAUUUACCUACUUCUGAUCUUGGUUUUGUUGUCCAUGUCAACAUGAACUGCCAUAUAUAAUGUGUGGCUAGCAGUAGAAAGUUGAACUGCCAUAUAGUGCAGUAGAAAAUAUUACGGAGUUCAGUUUCAUUUUGCACAUCAACAUUUAUUAAUGUCACACUGGCGAUUUCCGAAGUGUAAACUAAACAACAGAAAGGACAGAGAAAUUGUUCAUUGCCUUCUCAAGCUCUCUGUAAAUGUGAUCCAAAAGCAUAAACAGCACCCAGGUUAAAACAGAAUAUAUUCUCAGGCCUAAAAAGUAGGGGAACUCACUGUCAAGAAGCUCCAGAAAACCAUAGGCACUGCUAGGUUCCUUGGGACUUGGGAGUGCCAGCUUUGGACACUUUCGUUAUCUGAACAAGUAGACAGUUACAGGACAAGAAGGCAAACAAUUCAUGAAUAAAUAUAUAAGGAAUAUUUGUCGCCAGCAUGAGAAACAAAAAAUAUAGGAAUCUAGUCAGUGUUAUUUACCACAUGCAUGAGCAUGAAUUCUGCAGCAUACCAUAAGGGAAAGGAAGAAGCUUCAGCAGUAGUUUAAUAGAACAACUAGAAACUCAACAGGACUACAGGAAUGACAAGAAAGAGAAGGACUAAAAAAAAGUUAGGAAAUCAAUUAUUGUACUGACCAGUUCUACUCAUAACUAGGAUCCACACAAGGAUGCAUCCUGUUCCACAAAUACAUUGCCGUCGAACAGAUACCUAAUAGAGUAAUCUUCAGAUGUUCUGAACUGCUGGCCUUGAUGCUCACCCGUCCAGUUAGUUUGUUGUUCAUGUCAACAUGAACUGCCAUUCUUGAAGUCCUUCCCAUAGAGAACUGGGAAUCCAAGUUUGCAGCCACGGUCCAUUCUUUAUGCCACCUUACCAAGGAUGCACCAAAAGUUGCAAGGCCUUGACCCAUGGGAUAGUCUUUUUCGAGCAGGUUUGCCUCCAUAUUCAUUCCAUAUGCAGUGUCGCCAUUCAUGGACACAGCACCACUGUUUGCUACCAGGGUUAACCUAUCACCAACUGAAAGCUUGUCUUCAAACUUGGCUCCAGUCACCAUGGUGUUUCCCAAGAAAGUCAUGGACAAACCUCCGGUAGUAGCAUUCUUCUUGAUGUUCUUGAAUUUGGUCUCCCCUCUGAGAGUGUAAGCAAGCUGGUCCAUCAUGGACUGUAUGUCAAAGCCUGCAAGGGUUGAGGCAUACUCACCGUGCUUAGCUGAUAUCGAGGACUCCAAAUGAAUGGUGAAUUCUCUCUUGUCCUUGUUGACUUGGAACCACAGGGAAGCUGGAUAUGUACUGGCAACAUCAAGGCUGUGUUGGAGGCUCACGCCGUCAAACCCACAAUCAUGAUCCCAUCCCUCAGGGUUGGUAACAGCACGUACCAUAAGGUUUGGCGUAGGCUCAAGACACCGAUAACGGUACACUGGAUCAUCAGAAUCAAAUGAAGAUGGCAAGGCCCAGUCUGGCAUAGGGGAUCUAUCAAUGUCAUACUCAUCAUCAGGAUGAUUAUUGUUCCCAGGUGCAUCAUGACUAUUGCCCUCGCUCUUCUUCAUUUCCUUCAAUCUUCUGCGCUGUUCCUUCAACUGCUUCUUCUGAAGGAGCUUGGUUCGGUAGUCAUACUCAUCAAAAUACAAUGUCUGUUGCUCUUUUGAGAGGUUUGCAAUCUGUGAUUUACUUAAUGGCUUAAAGGGAGGAAGUUGAUCAUAGUCGUAUUCUUCCUCCUCUUGAUCCUCAUCCAACAAUUCCUCAAGAUCAACAUCUGAGUCCACGCUCUCAACGUUCCGAUCAUUAGCACGUCUGGGGUGCUCUCUAGAUUGCAACAAAGAUGAUAAAAAGUAAGGAAGAGAAGGCAUCUGAAUACGGAUACCAAAGAGGCUUGCAGAAGCAGCACGACGGGUUGAAAAACUCUCAAUCUCAGCGACCAUCUUCAGUGAGUAGCACAGUAGGAGGAGCAGGCGCCUCCAAAUAAGGCCAUUAGGAAGCACCUUUUCACCCUCCAUGUUUCUCUGACAAAGGUGAUGGUUCUCCACAAGAGCCACUGGAUUCUCCAUCCGAGGAUCAUUAGUUGUCUGACGGAUGCUUUGCUGAAGCGCAUGAGUCCGAUGAGUCACAGCCAUCUCAUAGUUCAUUGGAGAACCACUAGGUCCUUCAGGAGGAUCUGCUGCUGAGUGAGUGAAAGUGAUAAUGACUUUCGACCAUAUUGACAAGCCUAGCACACUGGUAAUACAUUGCAGUAGGGAUAGGUCGUUUCCACCCUGCCGUUGGGUGUCGAGCCGAUCGACAUACAAAACAACGUCAGGAGGGCAUUUCUUGAUAUACUUCUUAACAGAGCUGAGCACUUUCCUAUUUGAUUUUUCAUCCUUAAUUGUAGUCCCAAGUCCUGGGGUGUCAAUGACACGGAAUUUAACACCACCAACAACUCCAGCAAUCUCCUUCACGGAACAUGUUGCUGGUAGAAAAGCAUUCGUUUUGGAUUUAUCCUCGCCAAAGAUGGAGUUUAUUGUUGCACUCUUCCCCACCCCUGUCUUCCCAAGGACCAAUACAUUGCAGGAGAAUUCCAAGUUAUCUAUUACCUCUGUCUCAAGCUGCAAAGCCCUGUUCCAAGCAUUCUCAAGCUCAGAGGAAUGGUUUGCCAUCCUUAUGCGCCUAAAGCCUUCAACGAGACUAAGACGAUACAACACUUGUAUAGGUACCUGAUGUUCGGUGUCAUACCCCAAUCUAUACAAAAGACGCAAGUACUUGACGCGUGCCAUGUCCACUUUUGUGUAUAAUUUCUUCUCCUCGUCAGUCAUCACGCUCGCGGGGUCAGCAACAGAAGUAGAAGACACGUUCGCUGCAGGAAUGCUGACCACAGUAGGAGAUGGUUGCACUGAAUCAGAGGUUUCGACUGGAAAAACCUUGGCCUUUCCUUGUGCAGGUGAUCUGUUCGCCGCCCUCAGAAGCUCAGCUAAAGCUGCAUAAUCAAAAUGCUCAAUUUCCUUUCCCCCCAGCUCCUCCUCUUCAUAAGCAUCAUUCGCCUGAUCCUCAUCUGAAUCAUCCAAACCAAAGCGUGUGCCCUUGGAAGCAGGCAAAUCGUCCUCCAUUUCUUUUCCAAAUAUUUGUACGGAUGCAGGGUCAUCAGAAGCUUCAUAAUCAUCAUGAGUUUCCCUGUCUCCCUUAUCAUGGCCACCAUCAGAAACAAAAUGUGGGCUAUCAACAUUGGUAUGAAGCUCUGCAAGCUCAGUUGCGGCAUCUCUUGUGGCAACAUGUUCAGGACUGGCAUCUUCAACAUAUGUGAAAACCUCAUUCUUGGGCAUGUUACCUUCUGCAUCAGAGUCAUCAUUGAGAAGUGCCUUCCCAGCAUCUUCUUCCUCCAUGGAAUUCACGGCAGGAGGCAAUUCAGCAAACUCCAGCUCAGACCCUGCAAUAUUCCCCUUCGAAGCAUCCACAAUGUCACCAAUGUAAGGCUCGGUCACCACAUCAUUGACAGCUUCGGAACUGACAUCCUGAUCUCCCUGUUUAUCAUCACCCUUCAUCACAUAACCAUCUGAAACAUUUACCAAAUCACCAACUGUGGCGCCCUCGCCGUCAUCCAGCACGCUCCGGGAACUCAGGAAGCUCCCAUCCAACGAACCCUCGACGCCCACGGAGCCACCCUUGUCGCCCACAACGACGCCGCCUUCCUCCUCCAAUCCGCUCCUGGCGCCGGCGUCGAACACGUCGACGGCGGCGCUCCUGGCGCCCGCGGAGCCCUGCUGCUCCGACGACCCCUCCUCUUCCGCCGCGCCGAAAUACUCGCUCCCCUCGGACGCGUUGCCUCCUCUCCCAGUCUCCUCCGGCGUCUCGUCGGCCGAGGAGAUCGGGCCUUCGUCCGAGGGGGUCGACGGCGGCUGGGGCGGCGGGGGCACCCGGGCGACGCCGCAGAAGAAGCCGUUGGUCACCUCCUCCAGGACCUCGUCCCCGAAGUCCGCGGCGUCGUCGAACACGUCCCCCUCGUCGUCCGUCGACGACGAGAGCUGCGCGGCCACCCGCGGCGCGCCGAGCACGGCCGCGACGGUGCGCGGGGUCCCGAGGGGCGGCGGGGGCGAGGGGGAGCGGGACGAGGCGCCCGAGGAGAGCGAGGAGGCCGUGCUUGCGCUGGCGCCGUAGUCUUCGUCGUCGUCGUCGGGCGCGGAGAGCCGCGCGCGGAUGAGGAACGCCAUGCCGGGAUGCCGGUGGUGGGUGGUGGUGCGGGUCCAAGGCGGCGGGCGAGCCCCAGCAGCACUGCUAGGCGAAAUUUUGGAAUCGGAUGGCUAUAGCUUUCUUUAAUAUUUUCUUUUUUUAUACGAGUUGCAUUUUUUAUGGAGUACUACUUCUUUUUGGAUUUAUUUUUUUCUGUGGAGCAGCAAGAUGUGAGGAGGAUUCGGUUGGGUUGGUGAGAGGAGAAGAAGCUGGCGACGUGCAGGGUUAGGGUUUGGAUUCUUUCUGAAUUUCUUGCGGUUUAUCGAUUCUUUGGCCAUCAUUUAAACUGAUUUUUUGUGAUUGUGGGGGGUCGUGGUUAUGGGAUUUAUUGUGAAAUUGAAUAGUUUAUUUGUGUCCAUUAUUCCUGGUUGGAGAGUUUCGAUUCUUGGUGAGGAAGGUGACGCGUAUGAAAGGUUGAUUUUUUGGAGGUAUUUUUUUGGGAAUCGUUGAUGUUAGAACUUCUUUAUAUCUUCUGUCUAAAAAAUACUUAAGGUUUUUAUCUUUUUCAUGUGUUGUUGAACCCUCCUGUCGUCGAACUUCCCCGUUCGCCGUCGCCUGCCCCACUAGUUCACCCCGUCUUGGUUCACUUGCCUUCUUCCGCACCCCGAGUCCCUGACUCCGGCCGGCCACCGCUCCCAUGCCACCUCGUUCGCCUCGUCUUUGAUGGCUCGCCUUCCUCUGCGCCCCGACUCUGCCCGGCCGCCGUCACCAUGACAUCCCCCAUGAUCUGAACCUCGCCGCCGCCGUCGUCCCCAGGUGUUGGACUACCAGCCGAACGCCCUUGGACUCCUGAAAGCACGGCUCUCCAGUCUCCGCCCUUGGAUUUCAUUUUGCUCUUUCUCUCUAUAUAUAUCCAUUCUCUUUCAAGCAUAUGUGUUUUCUCUCUCUAUACAUUCUCUCUUAAGAAUAUGUGUUUUCUCUCUAUAUAUAUACGAUUCGGUUUGCUCUAUAUAUAUCCAUUCUCUCUCAAUCAUAUGUGUUUUCUAUAUGUAUACACCUUCGCUCUCAACAAUAUGUGUUUUUUUUCUCUUUAUUCGAUUUCGUUUUGCUCUCUCUAUAUAUGUCCAUUCUCUCAAGAAUAUGUAUUCUCUCUCUCUCUAUAUAUAUAUAUAUACAUUCUCUCUCGGAAAUAUGUGUUUUCUUUCUCUAUUUGAUUUCGUUUUACUCUAUAUAUAUUAUCCAUUCUCUCUCAAGCAUGUGUUUUCUCUCUAUAAAUAACAUUCUCUCUCACGAAUUUGUGUUUUCUCUCUCUUUAUUCGAUUUAGUUUCGCGCUCUCUCUAUAUAUAUCCAUUUUCUCUCAAGACCUUCUCUCUAUAUAUACAUACAUACAUAUAUAUAUAUAUAUAUUCUAUCUUAAGAAUAUGUAUUGUCUCUCUAUUCGAUUUCGUGGCGAAAUAGUAGUACAUGAUGACGUGGCGAGAACAACAGCGAGUAGCACACGAUGCAAUAGAUACACGAUGUACAGUGUAAAAGCUGUGCAACCAAUCAGUGCAAUCGAAAUAGAAACCAAUCGAAAUAGCAACACGUGGCUUUCACACACCUCCAAGCUACUGUGCUCACGAGAGAGAAAAGCGUAUAGACACUGCUGCUGCCGCCACACUGACGCCCGAUGUGCGGCUGGGAUAGGUGGAGUAGUAUGCUCGAGACCAACCUCGGCUUUUCCUUUCUUGGCACCUUCAACAAGGGCCACGGGGCGGAUGAAUUUGUUGAAAUCACAAGAGAUGAGGCCGUGGACCGAGCCAUACCACUCCGUGAGCCGCGUAGCUCCCAGAACCACCUUGUUAAUUCCGCAGGUCGACGGCGAGCAAGUAGCGCAGAUCGUCCGUGAUGAACUUCCACUUUUGCAGCUUCUCCUUGUACUCACCGAGCACAAUGCAGAGCACAUCCUUGUCCUCCUUGCUGAGCAUCGGGAACAUUGGCGUGAGAUCCUUUGGCAGGUCGCCAAAGCCGUCGAGCCCCCACAGGGUCUCCAGGCUCAGCUGGUGCUCCAUGUCUCCAGGCUCAGAGUUCCGGGAACCGGGCCUCCUUCAUCUCCGACCAGGCCGGGCUCCUGAUCUCGGAAUUGGGCCCCGGCCCAGUAGGCCGCCAAAGCAAGAGGACAUCCCGCUCCGGCCCGGUGUCAUCCAUGGUCAGCUUCCGCGGGAGGACGAGGGCGUAGGAGGAGGACUCGCCAUGGCCAUGUCGCGCGAUGAGGACUCGACUGCUGACCACCGGACGGUAGGAAAAUGUCUUCCGGCAGGGGGAUCAUGCGGAACGAGCCUUGGACGGAGUCGUAGACGAAGUAGCAGUGGCGGUCGUCGUGGGAGGAGGAGGCGAGCACCAUCACGUACUUGUCGACGGCGAGGAUGUAGGUGUACUGCGAGCAGCGGGGGAUGGAGAGGCAGGACAGGCUCAGCGGCGUGGCGGAGCGGUAGAUCCCGAUCUCCAUGCCGUGGAGCAGAUCGUCCGCCUCCUCCUGGCUGUAGAUCCUCGCCGGCG